CAGUGCAUGCGUGCAUGGGAAAGGGGGACGACGAGGGAGGGAGGAGGAACCUGUGCGGCGAGGAUACGAGACUUCGAUUGCUGCUGUUGUUGUUGAUGUUGUUGUUGUGUUGGUGAUGGUGGUGGUCUUGUGUGUGUAUGUGAAUGAAUGAGAUGGAGCGUGGGGGAACUAAUUGACUGAUCUGUUUGCAAUUUGCAAUUUGGAAAGCUGGGUGAUGAUCAUCCACCCGCGCUGCAGCAGCAGCAAGCCGGAGGGACGGACCCCGAGCGAGACCAUGUGAUUGUGUUUAUGAUUCGCGGACCGCGGAAUUGCAGAGCGACGGGGAGAGUGGGAGAGUGGGGAGUGGGGAACUAAUCUGCUGCUGCUGCUGCUGCUGCAUGUGGAACAGAUCUGAUUUCUCGAGACUCGAAAGUACGGGUGCCCUGCAGAGCGGGGCUUUGCAAUGGAGGGGGGGGGGGGGGGGGAGAUGAUGUUGCUGAAGGUGGAGUCAAUUUUGAAGCAGGGGAGGGGACAAGCGGGGGAUGUGUGUGUGUCUUGAGUGGGAGAAUGAGAGCGAGAGAAAGACGGAAAGAGAGAGAGAGUGGCGGUGAAUGGGGUUAAGGACUCAAAAAUAAUAGUGACCCACAAUGCGACUUAUUUUUUCAAUUUAUUGAUAUUUUAUUGUUUUUGAAUACAUAUUUUUCUGUUUUUUAAGGGUUUUUAAAAGAGUUUUUUUUUUUUUUUUUUUUGUGAAGGGUUGGGAGGAGGAGGGGGGGGGAGGGGGGUGGGUUUUGGUCCCUUACUCACCUGGGCUUGCUGCUGUACAGAAUUGGUGGUGCCUGCGAGGGAGGGAGGUUCUGGGGUGCUCUGGGUUAGCACGUGUGGAGCGUAGUGUUGAGUGUCAGGCAGCUUCCCUUGCUCAGUAGUACUUGCUUGCUUGCAUACUAACUUACAGCUGCCUCACCCAUGCCUCCCUGCUUCAUCUCCCUCCUCCUGAGGCAGCUUGCAGGUUGGCAAUGCACGCCCCCCGAGGUGCCGCAGAAGAAGCACGCUGUUUUAACCUUCGCAGGCUGCCUGGGGACAGAGAAGGUUACAGUAGUUGCUGAGAGGCGCCUGCUGCUGCCGGAUGGGGGCGGGACGCGUGGUGCCGGAGAAGGAAACAAGCACAGAGACGUAACACCAGCAGGUGGGUUUCUUGUUGCAUGCCAUAACUCUAACCCAUUCUCAGGAUAUUUAUUUGUUUCCGUCUAGUUUUUUAUUCUUCACUGCCGCAUUGCCGUCUUGUCGGCGUUUGUAACUCCUUACAACAGUAUGACUGUUGUCCAGUACUACACAGAGCGACGUAACCAGGCACACACAGAGCGUGAAAGAGAGCGAUUGAAGAUUAUUUAUUUAUUUAUUUUUGAAACAUUAAGAUUUCGUCUAGGAUAUGAUAGCUCUAUGGCCAGUUGCGGUACAGUCAAGGGUUGUGCUCUCUCAAGUCGGGACUAUUUUUGAACAGAUUUGCCUUUCGGGGUUCAACCAUGAUCAGACAGAAUACCUAGUUGAAGGUGUUUGCUUGUUCUUGGAUUGUCACCUUUGAGGGAAUAAGUGACGUACCUUCCUCAGCGGUACUAGUCAUAGCUAUUCAUUCCUUUACCGAGAUACAAGUUUGAGGUGUGAGAAAAAGCAGGAUCGGAGAAGAAGAUAGAGUGGCGAUUUUGGUUUUGAAGAGGUAGACGGUUUGAGUGUGACAGUUUCGGGUGAAGGAUCAAGGGCCUAAGGAGCAUUGUUCUUUUAAAGUUUGCUUGAUGUGUAUGUGGGUCAUUUGCAAACUGUCUCUGUCUGCCUUUCUUGCAGGAAAAUUCUCUCAUAUGGGCUAAUGUUGGAACAGACAUGCACAUGCAUUCAUAAUCGUACAUGUGCUCUGAUUUUUGAGGCAGAAAAGCGAGGAGGAGGACUAAUCGGCCGGCCGCUUUCUAGAAGGUUGGUUGUGCUGCAUUGUUCAGCAUGGCAUCUUAUUGAGGAUGAGAGCACGGUGGUAUGCGAGGUGAUGGCGCUUUUGCACCAAUUAGGAAGGAUUUUAGUGGGCUGAUUAGGUUUGAAUCCGUAGUGCUUUGGCGAGAACAAGAGGAAUCCGAGGUGCGGUAACCGGAAGAGCUUGACGCGCUGGCGGGUUUAGGGGGAUAGAAUGGGGUGCUUAUGGUCCAAGGACUUCGAGGCCUCUGCGUUGCCUCCAGUUAUUUCAGAAGUAGAGCACGCGAAUUCAGGUAUUUUCCAUCCAACUUUUUACUCUUAUUGUUCUUGAACCCUCGUAAUGUCUGUCACGUGAUAUCAUCACAUCUAGCAGUUUUAUCAGCAAAUAUCACAUGUUCUACUGAUGAAUAUUCUGGAUUAGCGCCUGGUUAUUCGAGAUGAAUGAAAUCUCAUUUUUCAAAGCUCUUGUUGGCACCCCUCUUUCACGUGGUGUACAUGCUGCUUAGUGAAGUGGACUCGCACGCUUAAGAAGUCGCAAUGCGAUAGUAUGAUACAUGCAUUAUAUUGUUGACAUUUGACAAAGUUUCACUAGAUGAAAUAUUUGCUUGAUUAUUUAUUCAUAGAAGAUCUUUAAAAUUCAAAAUUUAAAACUCAAAAGUUCAAAUACAUCAUACGAAGGGAAAAAAUGUCAGCAUAAGUUGAAUUCAAGGUGUAGCAAGCUAAAAACUAAAUUUUGCCCGGAGACUUGAGAUCUGACAUACUCAUGGCACUGUAGGUGCUGAGAAUGGACGACGGGUUGAGCCGGAAGCAGUUCCAGCGUUUAGAGAAUUCUCUUUGGAGUCAUUGAGAGUGGCCACAAAUUCCUUUAGCAGUGAUCAGAUAGUUUCAGAAAGUGGAGAGAAAGCACCCAAUUUUGUGUACAAAGGCAGGUUGGAUCAGAACCAUUGGAUUGCCAUCAAACGCUUUCCCAAGGCAGCCUGGCCCGAUGCCAAGGGUUUCAUGGUAUAGUCUUUCUCCUUGACAAUCACAAUGAAUUUAGUUGUUGCUUCUGAGAUUUUUUAUCGGUGCGAUUGUUCUAGCCUGUGUUGGAUUGCUUUACCGUUAAUGGAACACAUGGUUAAGCUCUCAUCUUUUAGCAAGCCUUUCACACUAUUGUAGAUAAUGAGAAGUAUUUUAGAUACCUGCAUGCACAAACCCCCUUACAUUGUGUAGUUUUUGAAGGUUUUGUGGAUUGCCAUCUCCUUCGGUGUUGCCAUGUAUGAAUUCUUGUAGAUGUGGAUUAUUUGUUUGAAUCAUGCGGAAGGAGGGUUUACAGGAUGAGGCAUGGAAGGUGGGUCAAGUCCGACACCAGAGACUGGUGAAUUUGAUUGGAUACUGCUGUGAAGGUGAUGAGCGUUUGCUUGUUGCGGAGUAUAUGCCGAAUGACACUCUUGCGAAACAUUUGUUUCACUGUAAGUGUCAUAUUUGUCGUGUGGAAGCCUUCAUUACAGAGGCAAUUCAUUUUCUUCGAGAGGUGGUUUGUAACCUAACUUUUCUGUGAGAAAUGUGUUGCGCAAACCUUCACAGGUCAUUUAAUCUGGUAUGAGGUGCUUUCAGUCUUUUCUGUCGGACUUUGAAGUUUUUUGGUUUAACGUGUUCACCUUCUGCAAAUAUACUGAAGACUUGGAUUGUCAACAAUUACAGAUGAAAAGCAGCCUAUGCAAUGGGCAAUGCGGUUGCGAGUUGCUUUGUAUAUUGCACAGGCUUUAGAUCACUGUGCCAACAGCAAUCUACGUUUGUAUCAUGACCUUAAUGCCUACCGGGUUCUAUUUGAUCAGGUAUUUUCCAAUUCAGGCUCAACAAUGACCUAAAUCAUGUCAUCUAUAUCACUAUCAGCAAUCCGUUUGUAUUACGGAGUUCAGAGAAUAUAUUCAUUUAGUAAAUCUUCUUUCGAUUCGUGUGGGUUUCCUUUGGAAAUAGUUCUACUUAGUACGUGGAUUUCAACUGCAGUUAAUAGAAUGCUCAGUAUAUUAACGAUUCUCUACGAUUUUGUAGGACGGAGACCCACGUCUCUCCUGUUUUGGGCUCAUGAAGAACAGCAGAGAUGGAAAAAGCUACAGCACCAAUUUGGCUUACACUCCUCCUGAGUACUUGAGAACAGGUUAACAACUUUUUGGGCAUCUUCUGGGAAGAGCUUGUGAGGGAAUGGUGGGUUAGCUAUAUUUUUGUCUUCGUAAGAUCGAUGUUCACUGCCUAAGUCAAUCGGUCGAGGAACCCUGGAACUCCCGUGAUUCUGUUUGGUCAGUGACGGUCAUUUUUCGAUAUUUUGCAGGAAGGGUAACUCCUGAAAGUGUCAUUUACAGCUACGGAACUGUUUUACUAGAUUUGUUGAGUGGGAAGCACAUACCUCCCAGCCAUGUAAGAAAACUCCAACUUACUUUCUUAUCUGCUGGGUUUUUAGUACUUAAUGAAUUAAGCAUAGAUAUUGAAACCUGGACAUACUAUUCCACGUAAGAAUUUUCUUACUCUUGCUGAAAUGAUUUUCUUACUUUCAGCCGAUUUGCAAAAGUGAGUGUGUAAACUGGUUAUUAUCGUGUAAUGCAGGCAUUGGACUUGAUUCGUGUCAAGAACAUGUUGCUGCUCAUGGACUCAUCUUUUGAAGGACAAUUCUCAAAUGAUGAUGGCACAGAGUUGGUCAGACUCGCAUCUCGAUGUUUGCAGUUCGAGCCGCGAGAGCGCCCGAAUGCAAAGAUGCUUGUCAGUGCACUAACUCCUCUGCAGCGUCGAACAGAGGUAAGCUCACUACUGGUCUCAUUGCACUCUGACCUUGGACCUCUGAGUAAUUUAUUUUUGAACUGGAAUUUAGGUGUUUUCUGCUUUGAACGAAUUUAUGGAAACUACUGAUGUACCCUAUGCAGCAAAUCCCCUCGUACACGCUGAUGGGGAUCCAAAGAGGAGUUCAUCAGCCUUCUCCGCCCCUCCCGCUGUCACCCUUGGGCGAGGCGAUAUCUCGAAAUGAUCUCACAGCGGUGCAUGAAAUUCUCGUGAAAACUGGCUACAAGGACGAUGAAGGCGCCGAGAAUGAGGUUCUUCAGUUCAAUUAUUUUGGUGCAAUUGCAUACUAUCCUUGAAGACAUCUUCUCGAGUAGAAACACUCACGUAGUUCAUUCGAAGUCCAUAUCAUUGCUUAUCCUCUGUAGUUGUGAGAAAGAAACUGAUAUCCUCCUGUUGUGUAUGCUGUGCAAUUCAUGUUGCAGCUCUCUUUCCAGGUGUGGACAAAGCAGAUGCAAGACAUGCUGAAUUCCAGGAAGAAGGGCGACAUGGCAUUCCGUGACAAGGAUUUCAAGACGGCUAUCGAUUGUUACACGCAGGUACGUUCUUUCUGGAAUUCUCUAGAAUAUAGAACCUAGAUCAACUUGUCCAGAACUAAUCUAUUCAUUGUCGUUGGUGGUCUUUCUGUCAUGGUUUUGGUGAUGAUUUGGGGUUGUUUCAGUUUGUAGAUGUAGGCACCAUGACUUCGCCAACAGUGUUCGCUCGUCGAAGCUUAGCUUACUUGCUGAGCGAACAAGCUGAAGCAGCCUUACGUGAUGCUAUGCAAGCCCAGUAUGUACAUCCUGAAUGGCCAACCGCGUUUUACAUGCAAGCGGCAGCCCUCGGCAAGCUCGGAAUGGAGACUGAUGCUAGUGACAUGCUUAAAGAAGGCACUGCGCUUGACUUGAAGAAACAGAACAAUUACUCUCGUUGAAGCGGCGAAUCUUUUAAUUCCCUCCUCAUUGAAGCUUUUCUCAUUCCUGAUGCCAUUAAGCAUGUUCGGCGAUUGUGAUUGAUUUUACCGCAACGAGGAGGGACCUGCGAUUACGCUUUGCACUCAGAAGCAUGAGUAGAUUUCUAAGUAGAAUCAGGGUGCCAAAAUUAGCCUUCCAUUUUGGUUGAGAGGCACAAGUAGUGUAAAUCAAUCAUCGCAGCUAAGGACAUGGGGGACGUUGAGGUGUAAAUUUAAUUGGGAUGCUAGUUAAUGAUUCGCUCUGUCCUCUUCAUGCCUCUUCAUCCCGAAUAAGCUCUUCUUGUGUCAAUGCAGCACACGGUUCUCUUUUUCGUUGUUUCAAGGACCAUGGAGGUUGUGGGCUUGCAUGCACCUUCGGCUGAUACUUAGCUCGUUCAUUGGAACUGUCUGAGUUUGUUGGGUUCUGCCGAAUAGUAUGCCAUUUGCACAUAUCAUCUUGUGCUAGUUGUGUUGCAGCGAAAACAGUCAAAAGCUUGAUCCCGUAAACACCCACAGGGACUCUAAACAACCCAUCUAGCCCACAAUCCUCAAACCAAAGCAUUCUAACUAAUUCUCUCUACUUCCACAUAAACAAGCGAUCUAGUCGAGUCCAAGUUGAAAUUACAGUAAUCUACAAAUUACAGUAACUUUAUCCACCAUAACCCCAAGGUCAUCAAAAUCAACCAGAACACCCGCGCGCAGUGAAACUGAAUGGAAAUAAGUUAGGUCUCAACAGUAAGGGUGUAAAAGCUCCUGAAUGGCUCCGUUUGGGGGCUUGGAAGUAGCGCCGCUGCGACUCACUCGGUACCCGACAACAAAAUAGCCAAAAUACAUGACAAACUCUUUAGGGAUUCUGAAAGAAAACUAGAAAAAUGGUUAUUGAUACCAGAGGCGAGUCUCGAAGUAUGGAAAGGAGAUAUCGGGGAGCCAUGUGGCCAGUUUUCGAGCACAAAAAAGUAUAAUACUGAUAAGCUGCGAUGGUGUAGGAAUCUGGUCCACGUAGAUUUGGGAGGGUGAGAGCCAAUGCAGAGGCAGGAAGGGGGUGUGGACUUUGGAUGGAAAAGAUGAGUGGAAGGGCUAAGGAAAAAGAUUGGAGUAAGCAGUUGAGGUGUGGCCAUGGCGCAAACCCGGAUUCUAAUCACACCAUGGCGCUCUCUGCGGCUGCACAGCUUGCCAAUUUUGUCCCCAACUCCGUGUUGCAGAGCAUCAGCAAUUCUCGUCACUUGAGCGGCUCACCCUCAUGGGCUCACAUACUCGUCAGACGCUUCACGCACAUGUCCUUGGAAGGUAUGCUAUUCAGAUUUAUGCCAUCGUUUUGUUUUGAAUGGCAAUCAGAGUGGUCAUCUCUUGAUCAUAGUUGGAAUGUGGAUGAGGAGAGUGGAUCGAAUUGCGUGAAGGGUACUCUCUCUCUCUCUCUCUCUCUCUCUCUCUCGCUCGCUCUCUCUCUUAUGGGUUCUCAGUUGGGUUUCGAAUUCGGCUUAGGAAGUCAUGUGAAGAGGAGGCAUCGGUGAUUAGCGUUUUGCGGAGGUGGGAUUUCUAACAGCCACCAACGGGGCAUAAAAUUUUCUCUGCUUUCUGUCAAUGGUUUGAAAUACCUAAGAGCUGUUUCGUUGGCGUCGGCGUAUUGCCGUGGAGAUGCAGAUAAAGUGUAGAAAUAAGCUCGAUUGGAAUGAAUCUGGACCUGAAUUUUAAAUUCGAGUUGGGAUUUGAUAACUUAAAGUGAACCUCGAAAACUAGCUUCUAUACCCGCUUUUUUCUUCUUUCUUUCGCUUCCUUCUCUGGGGAUGUUUCUGAUUUUGAACGAGGGUUAUUUGAUGACUUAAAAGCACGUACAAGAAGCUAUAGCAGUUGGGGAUUUUUCUAAGGGGUGAUAAUUGCACAUGCAAAGUCAUCUGCUAAGUAGUGCCCAGUUCUAUCCCCGUUAGAUUCUCAGUACAUCUGCUCAUGUUCUGUUUGAGCGAAUCCGGUAGGUGAGGCAAAAUGGGGGCUACAUCCCAUAUGGACACAGGAUCUGUGAGUUUUAGAGUACGAAUCUCUAGGGCUCUCUCCUUUAAGCUUCCAUUUGCUUUCGUGAUGUAAGAUGAGGUUUUGCUGUCUUUCCAAUGUGCAAUUCACGUUUCCAAAAUCAUUGACAUAUUCACUUCUUUUGGUAACGACAAUAUGCGAAGAGGGUGGAGAUCAAAUGGAGCCUGGUGUUUAGCUUCAGACACUAGGGCAUAUUUCUUUGUUCGAUCACACGAUGUCAGAUUGGAACACUCAUAGGAGAUUCGGUCAUGGUUGUCCUCCGCUUUCUUGAACGAAUUUCAUAGUUUUCAAUGGGAUUUUUCUUUUGAGAAACCCCGUCCUUCUAAACAAUGCGCACGCUUGCCAAAUUUCUUUGUUACUGAUUCAGUAUCUCGAAAAUUUCUGUAAAUCCCAUCACGAAUUUUUGAAAUUUGAAACUUGAAUCUGCAGAUAAUUCAGAUGGUUAUCACCAAUACUUUGUCGUUAGCACUAGAGUACAUUGUAAAUGCUGUCUGGCUAAUGCAGGUUUCCAAGAAAAGUCCAGAAAAGGAUACCAACAUGGUCCUCUUCUCGGCAGUUCGUCAAGGAGGUUGAGCAAUGUCACAGUUGCCGCUGAGCGGUCCCCGAUUAAUGGUUUUCACGAAUCACCGAGGCCGAUUGGUACGAGGUAUUCUUGCACAGCCUUGCCAGUUUGAGGAGUUUUAUGUUACUCAUUGAAGGAUUUAUUUUAAGCAUGUUCUGAUUUAAGCCCUAGUCAUUUGUCCUGAUGCACAUAGUUCUGUCAAUCAUUUUGUCUACCAUUGAAAUACCCAGCGAACAUGUUGUCAUCUUCAUGAAGAAGAGCCGGGAUUCAUAGCUUGUUAAUGUUGUCUGAGUGGUGGGCACAUAGAUGGGCCACGCAGGAAGGUUGUGGAGCAUGUUGUUUUGCUUCAGAUGGAGGAGGACAUGACCGAUGAACAGGAGAAGGACAUGUUGGACCAUCUUUACUCUCUUCAAUACCACUAUAGAGGCAUAUUGGCUGUUUCUCUAGGUGCGCCUGUGUGCCUGUUGUUGCAUUUGAACAUCAAGCUAAUCUUUAUCAACAAACUUCUUAUUAUAGGAACUCUGAAAGUUUUGUUUGUAUCUUUCAGGUCGGGUUGUUGAAAGGAUGCCAGAAGGAGUAACCCACGCUUUCUUUCAACGUUUCCCAUCUUUCGAAGCGCUGGAGCAGUAUAUGGACCACCCAGCUCGUCUCCAAGUGGCUGAGAAGUACAUCAAUCCGUAUUGCAAGGUAGAAUUCCUUCGCCAUUUCUCUUGGGCCAGGCUCGUUUUAUCUGAAGUUAAAUCAACAACCUUCUAAUUUGAUUAGACUUGCAGGGACGCAUAGUGGCAGACUUUGAAGCAGAGGUUGAAGAUGAUCUCGAACCACUCUUCAGGCGAGGUGAGGUAAGUUGCAUUCUGACUCCUCUGCCCGAAUAUUCGCUUGAACGCCCUACAACUAUGAGGACUGAUCUUGUAUGUUGCGAAGUAUGAGGUUGAUUGAAGUAUAGUGCGUGAACUUCUGAGCCAUUUCUCAAGCUUGACUACGAAGUUUUUUAUACGGUGCUGCAAAAUUCUACGGUUUAGUUUUAAGGGGGCUUGAUUUUUCGCCAGCAGUUUAUUACAAAUUUUCCCCUCAGGAUAGUCUGGUCAGUUUCUCCGCCCGUCUUAGUGAUCAUUUAGUUUCUUAGAAUCUUCUCCCAAGUGUUCAUUUAGAUUGAGUGGAGAAUCACAGGAUGAAGUUGGUCUGGCAGAGGUUUCAACAAGGAAUAGAGCAUGUGGUUUUGAUAAAAGUAAGAGAAGGAGCAAUACUUGACGGAACUGAAGGGAUGAUUGAGGCUUUCAAUGCACUGCCACAACAAAUCGGUCCAUCAGUCAUCGUUCAACUAACCGCAGGUUAGAUCGAUGCAUGGAAAUCGUCUUUUUAAUCAUUUUGCUCUUUUAUCAUUUGGUAAUUUAAGGAGUUGGUUGGGUCUCUUACCUCUUUUUUUAGAUUAAAAUUCUUUUGUCUAAUUGCGCUCUUGAUGCACUUAGUAUGUUUGUGUCUCGAGCUUGUAUCCAAGCAAGGCCUUAGUUACAAAUUCCGAUGUCUUUGAGUCAGGUACCAACCUAUCUGAUCGCAAUAAAGGUUACACACACGGAGUUCUUGUGCGGGUACCAUCAGGUCAGCGUUACGAACUUUUUAGUUUCAUGUUGUGUCUGGGCGCAUUUCUCUCUCACGUCAACGUUUAUGUGAAGAAUUCAAGUGGUAUCACUGUCAAAAGUAAAGAAAGUCUUUUGAUCUUUUAGUUGUAAUCCACUCUAAUUGUAAUGUGAUUAAAGCUUUGAGAUAGCGCGUAUUCCACGAUUAUUUUAUUAACGUCAUCCACUGAACUGCAGAAGAGGCCUUGACCACAUUCAGCAAACAUCCUGCUUAUGUCAGAGUAAGUGAAGAGUGUGGAGUCAACCUUUCAGUGACGUCUUCUGUAUUGUUUUAUGCACAGGAUAACAAGGUUUUGCUUUACAAGCUUCAGCAUUGGAAUCACGAUAUGUGCAUUGACUUCGACUGUUUCAACGGUUGACGCAGGUUUUUACUGAGAAAGUUCUUCCUAUCAGUUCAGGGCUAUUAUCAGCAGAUUUUUUGGUAGAUCCUGUGACCAAAUCAUCCCCCCUUUGAACGUGAGAUUUUGGAGUUAACAUCAUCUUUCAUAUGUGAAGCACAACCUCAGUUUCCUGUCAGCUUUCCGUGAUAUGGUAAUCUUUGUUCCUGGAAGUUCCUAAUGAAGCUUAUCAAGUAGUGCAGAAAGCUUGUAUUGAGUUGUAGAAAUGCGUCUAUCCAUUCAUCUCCUGUCACUUCACGAAGGGCAAUAACCUCUGUUGGGAAGCUCUUCAGUGGCCAUUGUACCCAAUUCCUUCGAAGAUGUGAAGAAAUAUUCCCAUCGUGUCUCACUUCCUGUUUAGUCAUCCAGGCGUUGCGUGCAUCUGCUUUAUUUGCAACCUGAAUGCAAAAAAAAUUAUCGCAAAUCAACAGGGAAGUUAAAAUGUGUUUCCAUGUUCGGAUUCAUGUGGACUUUGUAAAGAUAUUUCAUUCAUUCGGUGUUCUUCAGAAUAGCAGUCAAUCCAGGGACAAGUUAUUUCAUUCUCUUUUUCUGUUCAUUGUUUGGGCAUAUUGAUGAUUAUGUUUUAAUGCAUGACAAAUAUUCUAGUCUACAAGUUCUCAAGGUCUGCCAUACAGACAACAUCAACAACACUGCACACUGCAAAUUGGGCAAAAUACUCAUUAAAACAUAGUUUAUUAUUGAUGAAUGACCAACCUUAUGAUUAACUUGGUAUUCGUUAGGUGACUUGUAUAUAGAUUUGGGGUUUUAUUCCAUCUCACGGACACACUGAAUUGGUUUAAGUAUUACACUUGCUUUGAAAGACAAUUGGAUCAGAACGUAUUGAAGCACUUCUAUGAAGGCAAUAUAUAUAUAUAUAUAUAUUUAUAUUUAUAUAUUUGAUUAGUUCAAAUCCCACAUAUGAUUUUUGACUGACAUAAAAUUAAAAAUUAAAACCCGACAGAUUCUAUCCAAGACAUCCUCAUCCUUCCGAUCAAACCCGACCGGAAUCGACGGCCGCCAAUAAACCAUAUCUCCCGGGAAGUGACGAGGCAGCGCCUAAUCCUGCCAACUGUCAUCCAACUGUACAACCAACCCUAUCUCGCCACGCGUACGAGUCCGCUGCCACCUGGACGACUAGAUUGUUUAGAUUGUCGACCAAAUUUCGGCGUCAGGGAUCGGACGACGCAAGAGAGGCCACGUGGAUCCCAAGAAUCCAAAGGGUGAGAUUCGACGCGCGUCAGGGUGGUAAUAAGUAAGCCCCACCUUUAACUAACUCAUCAGUCUCCGCAAUUUGUUACCGAAUUUUAAGCUUUUUGUUUGCAUUCUGGCUCAUCUCGUCGGGUCAUCCCUUUUUGCAGGUGCUGACUGAUCAGAGUUUCCUGUGUGUUUUUUUCACGAGUUUUUCCAUUUAGUAUGUCGGUUUUUGGGUCAGAAUCAGAUGCAUGGGAAAGUGUGUAUUUGUGUGUGUGUGUGUUUUUGUUUUUAUAAACGAUGUUUGAGAUGUUAAAGGUGCGUGUGGACAUAUAGUGUGCAUAGUUGGCGCUGAUUUUGUGACGGAGUUUCUGACGAAAUCCUAUUUUGGGUGGGUGGGUGAGUUGCAGAAGAUCCCCAGGUUGUUAGAAUUCCGGGUGUUGAAUGGCGAGGACGAAGAAGACUGCAGGAGGUCGCAAGCAGAAGCAUGCUACAACUGGGGUGGCCAAGAAUAAGGUGAGCCCUGCAGUGAAGUUCACUGACAUGAGGGCGAAUGCGGGACAGAAGUUGAGCAUCGCGGGUGCCAAAAUGUCCGAGAAGAUGACGCACUUCCGUGCGAAUGUCAUGCUCAAGCUGUACCGGUUGCAGCACCCGACUCACCCUGUCAAAAGAGUGGCUGCCAAAGAGAGCAUCCUGAAUAUGAAGGCGGCUGCUACAGGUCAGUUUGCAACACCCUCGAUGCUGUUGGAUCCAGUUUGUGUGCUCGUUCCGUUCCAGGUUGUUAGCUUCCUUUUGAAUAUGUCUCUGCGCAGGGCGUCGUGGUUUCAAGUUUCUAGACAUGAUUUGAUAGAUCUUUCGCUAGGUUUGUUGAUGGCUCUCCAUCUCCUUUUUAGGACAUGUCAGGGAUGCAGAUUGUUGAUUUGUGAGCGCUUUGUGUGAUUAUGCAGAGAGGAGAAGGCAAAAAGUGGCCAGAGCUAUUGACGUUGCCGCUAGAAAGCGUGCGCAAGCACGUGAACGACGCGCUGUUGCUAUGGCUCGGCAUACAUAGAAGUUGAAUGUAUUUGCUUCAUCUGCAUAGUGUAACCAUUUGUAUAUAGACAGAGUCUUGUGGGGUGAAUUGGAGGUUUCAUGAGGUUAGGAUUUUCAAUAAGCAGAGAAACUCUAUCGGGUUUUACUUGUAGAACGAGGAUUGUAAUAUUAUCUCAAAGUGCAAAUUGUUUUAACGUCUGGAAUCUACUUCACGUCGGCCUCCAGAACAUGUUGCUGGUCAUACCCAGUCUCAGUUUUUGGCUACUCUCCAAGUUGAACUACUAAACAAGAAAUUCUGCAUGAGUUGUAUUUAUCAGGCCGUCUGCAAAUUAGCUAAUAUCUACAAUGACGUUUUAGUCCAGAAGAGUUGUCACAAGCUGCUAGACACAUAUGAGCAGUAACACAUGAAUCAAUAACCCCCCUCGUUGGUUUAUGCCCGCCGAUGUCGAUAAUCUGUCUUUUACCAUCAGUUCCAAAACCAGUACCAAUCAGUACCUUUUCCGUCGGCGUGUCUUUUUUCGAGUCAUGAUCCUGAAUUCCCUCCCUCGUCCGUCUGACGCGUUGCGAGGUCUCUCUAACAAGUGCAUCAAUUUCAUGUCCAAUCUCCUUGGAGACAACUUCCUCUUUUUUGCCACCAUUCCUUCCAGACCUGCUAGCGAGAUAAGUUGGUCCGUACUGGACCUAAAAGAAGCUGGCCCCUGUGAAGCAACUUCUAUGGGGGUCUUCCAUUCUGAUGGACCUCCUGCCUCCUCCGAAAUUUUGGAUUGCUUACUCUUCUCUAGGCUUGUAUCAGGCUUGCCAGUGAACUCUGAAGAUCUUACUUCUGCUUCUGUCGCUAAUUCAGUAUGAUUGGGCUCUUCUUGGGAAUUUUUUGGUGAGGUGGGACUCAUGCGAUUCUUGUACUCCCGAACUCGUCUUUUAAUCUCUUUGUCAAGAUCUUCGCAAUCGCGCAUACGGUGUCCAUGCUGUCUGCACCAGUUGCAUGGCGGUAAGCAGUACUGUAUUCGGGAACUAGAGCGAGGAUCCAAUUUCCUUGAUGUUAUUUUCCUGGCUGGUAUAAUGUUCUUCUUUUCUUUCUUAAGUAUUGUUAUCGGCUGCAAUUCUCCGCUCUGCACCUCAACCAGCUGCUGUGAGAUCUGUUUCAAAGAGUGGAGCAGUUGCUGGCUGUCGACAUUUUGGACCGCUGCGUCAAAGUUUUCAGAAAGUGAGUUGAUCGUUUCCUCAAAUCCAUGCAAUCUGCGUUCAAUCGCUUCUCCAAUGCCCACAAGCUGUUGAAAUAUAUCUUGGACGACACGGUAACUCUCUUCCACCAGCGGUCCCUCCAUCCGGAUAUCUGCCAGCUUGUUCUUGAGCAGCAGCAACCUUGCUUCGUUUUUUGAUUGGUACAAUGCUCUGAGACACUCCCAGAAUGUCUUUGAUCCGUCGAUACCUGCAACAGAAUGCAGCAUUUCAUGCUUCACUAGAAGCCUUCAUACUCCAACCAUUCGAAGCAAAAGAUAGAAAGAAAAAUAAAAAAAGGAAAAGCAGACCUACUUAAGUUGUUCGUAGUCAGAAAGUUGCACCAGAUAAAGCACCUAAUUCGUAACCUACCGAGAAAUUGGGCUGUAACCUAAUAUGCAACACUCUAGGAUCCGUGAAUAAUGAUUUCGGCAUUGAAAUUUCUUUAAGGAGCUUCCCGCGGAAACCUCACAACCAACUCAGUGCUACGAACUGUAAGAAUCUUUCAACUAGUCUUGGGUCCCUGAGUGGCAAUUGAUGUCACACCAUUACCGGGUGUUCCACUGGAGUAAUUUAUUCCGAAAAGACACCGGCUCACCGCCAGCGGUUGCUCGAUGGAGUUCCGUGCCGAUCUCGGAAGGGAGCUCGUAUCUUUCAUGGGUCUCUUGCUCUUCACUGACCGAAUAGCAGCAUGCUUACUACGAACUGAACAAAUUUUGAUCCAUUUCUUGAUCUUUCGGAGCUCGCAGAAUCCAUGGUUGGUCGGAGAACGUACAGCUACACGGGUGUCAUUGGAGCAGAGAUCCCUCGGUAGAACUCGUGGAGAAACCUCCUUAGCAUCCUUAGAAAUUAUCAGUGCGUUUCCAGUAACUUCUCCAGACUCUAUACUCGGAGUCUCAGUUAAUUCUAGAAUUCCUGUGUUUUCAACACCUUCUGCAGCGACUUCUGAACUUAGUUCCGGCACAGUGAGACCACUGUCAAGAUUUAGACGCUUGGUCUUAGGAGGGGAUGACUCCCGACUCGCAAGCAGCCUCUUCGUUUGGCGAAUGUAUAUUUGACGAGGAUCUUCGCCUUUUCCAGAACGAACCCAUCUGCACAAAAAUAUUGGCAUUUUCUUCAGCGGUAGAGUAAAAUAUGUUUGAUACUUGAGCAAUCUUGAGCAUAACAUUUCCUUCAGAUUCAAACAUUACUCUUUAUCAGACUUACAUUUCCCAGAGUCGUUUUGCCUUAGCGGCAAAAAAGUUUAUUUCUUGAACACACUAAGCUUCCCAGGCAACCACAUAAUUCAUGAUCAGUUACUAAAUUUUUCUACUAAUUGAGCAACAGCCCGCAAUCACGCGUUAACAUUAACAGUAUACAAAAGCAAAAUAGAUUUUCUAUCAUGUUUAGUUUUCUUGUAUAUCCUCAUAGAUUAUCACACAAUAGAACUCUAAUAUUACCUCUGACCACGGCUGAACCUCUAGGUCGAGUUCAAGGUAUCGCCAGCAGACGAAGUUUUUAGAUUUUAAAUUAUGCUCGACCUGCCAGUCACAUUUCCUUAUUCAAAAAAGGUGAAUCAGAUAAGAGAGGAGUUAGUCAAACAAAGGGGCUCCCUGGUCCGAUCUGGAUGAAAACAAACUUGGCACCUGCCAUUUACAAACAUGUGGAACAAGACUUAAAGAACCAAGAGAUUCUUUGCUAGUAGUCAAUUGUCCUUAAUUCUCCAGUAAAAUCAACUCAAAAAUGGGGAGAACUACACACCGGAAGGCCAAGUCGAAUCUUCUCCACCACAUGGCCCUGCUCCUCGUACGCGGUUUUGUAGUUGUUAACAACACCGGCCAUGCUGGAGCGAUUGAACAAUCAUUUGAAAUCAGGCACGCUAAAAAGAUUUGUAACUCUUUAGUCUCUUUGAUUUGAUAUGUGACUGUGUUUCAGAGCUUAGAAUUCUCAUGAAUUUCGGAUUACCCGUGUAGCAAUCGAAGCUUUUGAAAACUAGAGUUGAUCAUCUGUGCAUUCACCUGUUGAAUUCCAGGUCUAUACUCCCGAAUUCAGGCCAGCGGCUUAUACCAAAUGCACCGUAUUUGCUAAAAUAUUGCACCAGCAACACUAUGUGUUGAUAUACCUGCUCCAGGUCCAAUAUGUUUGAAUUAACUUAACUGUACCAUUCUUCGAUGGAUUUGAGCUCAUAGAGCACAAUCAGAUGGUCACAACCACAAGCUCACGAGUAUCGUAAAUUUUGGAAUUCCCUACCCAGCUGCAUCUGACAAUUUGAUGUCUAUUCUGUUCUAAUAAGCAUUUGACGAAGGACUAGGCACCCUGGUGGAUACCUCUCAUUCUAUGAUCGAGUGGAAUCAUGCAGUCUUUCAAUUACGGCUGCAUAACCCAUACUCAACUGAGAGAGACUACCUGACCAUCCAACACGGUCUGGAAGCUCAAGGGAAAACGCUCCACAUCGGGCAGGCCAGCCUACAACAGAGAAGUUUCAUGGAAGACGUCAUAACCAUAUAUCAGGCAUUUGAGGCAGUUAUUUAAUAGACAUUGAAAUAACAAGACACAAAAGACAAUGGUGCGAGUCACUUAGAGGGAUAUUGUGCUCUCAUGUCUCAAGGAAAAGAAGCGUACCGUCAGGAAAAGUGCAACAAAUACAGCUUCCACGCACUUGAUGGGCUGUGGUGCAUUGACAAUCUGCUUCCCAAAAGGUUAGUUUUGGGAAAACGUUGUAUUCGAACCAGACUAAAGGUUCUUGAAUAAACGUAGACAUGUCACGAGAAAGAACAGGUUGAGGCAGUUUUUCAGGAAGCUCCUCAUACUGCUUCAUGUCGAUGCAGAAAACGGGAAAAGAAAUCUAAAUAUCCGUGAAAUUGAGUGGUCUAAGCAGCAUAAUGAUCUAAUUAACAUACAGUUUCCAAGGCUAGAGUUCAGUGAUAGGUACCGUUUUCGCUGUCUCCGUUAUCUGUAGAAGAGGUCGUUGCUUCUGUGAAUUAAAGUUCGUUUGAAGCUUGAGCCAGUAUUCGAAAGACGCAAGGUACUGCGCAAAAUUUGCAGCAUCAGCCGAUCGCAACGGCAUGCAAGCUUCAAGGUCAUGAGCUUCGCCAAAAUGUUUCAUUCCUUGGAUAAAUAGGCAUCAAGGUUUAUUUUUGCAAGGAUAUGGCGCAUCGGAAAAUCAAAGUGGCCAAAAGAUAGAUUGAUCACCUGCUUCACAGCCUUCAGACGUGGUUUCGUCUUAAGCCUAUUGAAUAUUACAGGCAAUCUUGGUCGAGUGGAUGGUGGUUUGGCCACUGAAACUUGGGCUUCUGGCUCCUCCGAUGCUGUCACUGUUUCAUGUAUGCCCACUUCAUCUACAAGGAGAGGAAACGCCUCCUUCAACAUUGUGCAAUGCAAACGAAGCUCUCGGCUUACAAGGUAAUGGUAGUCAAUGCAGGGGUUUUGCACCAAUCAUCAUCCACUUCGGAAUACCAACAAAACAUCGCAGAUUACUCAAUGACGACAUGAAUACGAACACUCAACCCCCUACCAGCUUGAAAUCGUGCAUGAAACCUCGACGUAGCACUGCACAGAUUAUGCCAUCCAUGUAAACCCUAAACAGUGAAGGAAUCAACGGAUUCACACGGCUCCCUACCAUCUCAAGAAUCACCACCUCGGUAGCAAAGCAAAUGCAUGGAUCUGACAAAGGGUGAAUCUGACUUCUCCUUCAUCGACCUAUGUGUAGACUAGGUCCCUGCCAAGUUUUUUAUGCUAAAGAAGGAAGCAAUAUACCCCCCUGCCUCUUCAUAACUUCAUUCAAGAGACUCAUACACACUACACGGGUGUAACAAGUUCAAAGUUAGUGACCUAACUACCCCGCUUGUGCAAAAUCAUGCCAUGUCUACUUCCCUCAACAGAAGUCUUGUUCCUCCUUGUUAUCGUCAGGAGUUGUACGCUUAACCACGCUUCGACGUUGUGAUACGAAUAGGGAGAACAAAAGGGGCGUUACCACCCGCGUCGGAAUUUCACAUUGACAUUUAACAAUCUCAUUAAACAAGACAAAUUCCAUUGAAGGCAGAGCAAGCAUUCUGGAUGCAGGAGAAUUGCGAAUUGACGAUGAGUCGCCGAAAAAUGUUUGCACUAAGUGCGGCAAUUUGGAAAUCCUCUCAUGACUCCGAAGAGCGAGAGAAACACUACCGGCCAAGUGGAGCUUAUCACACCAUGCUAGUUGCAUUGCAAGUAGCUGAUUUCAAAGCAGAACGGAAGCAAUGCAACUAGUUUACUACAUCUUGCAAUUAGCUAUCCAAUGUUUCAUUUUAAAAAAUAACCACAAAAUCAUUAAAGAACUCGUACAACGUGGUACUGUAACAUAUGCAAUCCAAAAGAGGUCAUGUGUUUCUUUCUAUAUUUUAAAAUUUCACCACUAUUUUUUGUAUCUAAAACCUUGAUCUUGCAUUCACAUUGUAUUUUUGUAAGUGCCUUAAACUCCUUAAAAUACUCUUUUUUAGCUUUGAAGGUGAAGAUCUAGAAUAAUAAAAAUCUUACAAUCAAAUUGAUCACUCCUUUAAUUUAAUUUGCAACAAUAUUAUACAAAAAAAAAAACAAAAACAAAAACAAACAUUCAAGAUUAAUAAAUAGAAUUUUAAAAGUAACAAAGGUAAUUUAAAAUCUUUCUAUCAAUUCAUAAAUAAAGGAGUAAAGACAUCUACAAAGCAAUGUUAGAAAACUAAAGAUCAAAAUUAGUAUCUAUAUAUGUUAAUAAAAAAAUAUUAGCUCCUAUAAAUCCUAAUAUUAGCAAAAAUUAAAGAAGAUAUAUUUCAUACAAGUGUAACAACAAUAAUAUGAAUUCAAGUUACUUGAAUUUACAACAAAGUAUUUGUGGAUCCAUAGUUUAUUGAAAAAUUAUAAUAAGAAGGAUUCAAGAAGUAAGAUUCAUUAAAUUUGCACAUAAGAGAAGUGCAAAGAUAAAUGCUUUUUACUUUUCCAACUUAUUACUCAUAGGUAUUAAAUACUUCAUAAGAUUUCUUUCAAUUUUUCCUCUUGUGAUUUCAUCUAUUACAUUUAUCAUUUGGCAUAGGAUCCUACCUACAAUAAUAUGAUUCUAUCAUAUCACAAUAAGAUCCUCUACUAUUAUACUAAGAUCUUAUUCUAUACUUUAAAUCUAUCUACUUUAUUUUUUUUAAUCUUUGUCUUUUAUCACAAGCAAGUUACUAUAGUAAAGGCUAUUUUCUUCUAAUUACUUCAAUACAUUGCACAUUAUGAUUUGAAGCCUGACAAUAUUUUACUAAAUGUUGUUGAAAAGAAAAUCAUGAAUAAGACUAUUAGACAUGUUAUUGUAAAAGUGAUUGAUUUUGAAAUAUCUAAGAAUGAAGUUAGUAGAAAUCCAAAAUCAACAAAAAUUAAUUAUUAUAUGGUAGUAUACCUUACAUGGAUUAUAAGAUAAUAAAAAAUAAACUAUUAAAUAAUAAAAAUAGAUAGAAUAAGUAAGUCAAUAAUAACAAAGCGACAUUGAAUUAUGUGAAGUACAUAUAUAAUGCCUCAUGCUUUCUUAAGUGUGUUCAAAGUAGUGGUGAUUAUUACAAAAUAUCUUACCACAUUUUAGAAUAAUUUAAAAUUCAAAUAAAGUCAAAGAACUUAAAAGAAGCUUAAAAAAUGUUGAAAUCAUUCUUAUCCAAGAAUAAAGUAAUAUUUAUCUUUGAUAAUAUGAAGAACCAAAAGAAAAUCAAACAAUUAUAUAUAUAUAGAUGAUUUUUUUUUUUAUAUAAGUGGUAAUAAAAUUAUUAUUACAACACAAGAUUGAAAAAUUAUAGAAUAUUAUAUUCUUAAAAUAUGUAAAGUAGAUUUUAUAAAAUAAAGCAACUUUGACUUACAUUUUAGGAUUUUGACUUUUUUAUAGAAUUUUUUUAAUACCUUCUAUAAAGCUUCGAGGAAGCUUUUCUAGAAGGUAUUAUGAAACUAAUUUACUUUUAUUUACUUUUACUUACUUCUAAGUAAUCACAUAUGUAUUUAUUAGAAUGAAUAUGUAUAUCCGUGACAUUACCCUCCUUUCUAAGGACAAGUUCCACAAGGAGUAAUUAUCAUGUAUUAAUGAAAUCCAAGAUGCGGCAAAUUGUAUUUGUCACAUACUCUGAUCUUUGUUUUCUUCAAAGAUAGUUGAUAGGUCCUCUCAGCCAUCGAUAGUGUUCUAUACCAGGGCAAGAAGACCACCUUAUUGUUUAAUUGUUGUUGAGGCUUUUGUAACUUCUUUCAAAUAAAACAUUUAAAAUAUCUUUUGAAAUUAUUUUCAUCUCUAAUAAGAUUACCAAACAUCGAGAGUCUCUUCUAAAGUUGUGAUAUCAAACACAUUAUAUCUUGCCAUCUAUUUGAAAAAAGACAUGUCAUUCAUAAGGAUUUUCAUCUUAAUUAUGUCAUCUUAAAGGUUAUGACAAUCACAAUGUCUUGUGUGAUAAGUUAGCAAGUGAAAGCUUUUGAGUUGAAUCUAUUGAUUGUUAGUUUUUCAUCUCUCUAGCAUCAAAAAUAUAUAGAAAUUACAAAGAAUGAUAGAAGGUAGAAUGUUAUUUUCUUUAGAUCUUAUUUCUUUUAUAGCAAAGAUUUGAUAUUCUUUAUCUUAGUUUGGAUAGAUGUUAUUAAUGAAAAGCCUCAAUUCUCUUUCUUGCAUUUACAAGAUUCAUUUUUGGCUCCCUUGUGCAUUCAUUAAUAUCAUAUCCGCACUAAUAAACAAGAUAUUCCAAUAUGUUUUUGGUGCCACCUUGAAUUUAAGUCUUCUUCCACCUCAAAUUCUUCAUUAUUAUCCACUUCUACAGGAAGAAGUGGUAUUUGUCUUUUGUUGAAGAUAUACACUAUCUUAUAUGGCUCAAAACGAGAUAUGUGAAAUAUGGGAUAGAUCUUCAUAGACUUUGGUAGAUGUAAUUGAUAAGCAACAAGAUUGACUUAUUAACAAAUAGGAAAAGAUCCAAGCCUAUAAUUAUCCAAUUUGUUACAAGGAUGAGUAAUCUUGAUAUUGCGACAAAGUAACCAUACCUUAUCACCUACAUUGAAUUGCGGUUGUUCGUUGUGAUAGGCAUCUAUAUUAAUCUUUGUUGUUCUUGAGCUUUCUUUAAUUGUACCUUUAUUGUUGCAUGUAGCUUUCACAAACAAUUUGCCAAAUCUUUUGCUAUAGGAUUAUCAACUUUUAAAAAGUUAAAAGUAUCAAAUCAUGGAUAAUAACCAUAAUUAGCAAAGAAAGGUGUUUAUAGAAUAGAAGAGUGUAUCAAAUUAUUGUAUGAAAACUUUGCCAAUAGUAAAAGAGUUGUUUAAUCAUCUUAAUGAUAAUUGAUGGUAUACCUAAAGUACUGCUCCAAAAUUUGAUUCACCCAUUUCGUUUGCCCAUCAAUUUGAGAAUAAAAAGCCAAAGAGAGCUUUAUAUCUAUUUUUAAAAUCUUAAAAAAGAUUUUCUAAAAUCUUAGUAUAAAUUGAGUCCUCCUAUCUAAUAUAAUAUCUUUAAAAAAUUUGUAAUAGCAAUAGAUGUUAAAAAAAAACUUAGCCAUUUUUUCACCUAUGAUAAUUUUUGUACAUAGUACAAAAUAUGACAUCUUGAUAAAAUAAUCAACUACCAUGAAUAUAAAAUCAUACAAACCUGAAAGUGGAAGAUUUGUGAUAAAAUCCAUAGAAAUAAAAGACCAUGGUUGUUCUAGAAUACGUAAUGGCAAAAGAAGUCUAUAAGGUCCAUGACGAGGAGUUUUGAAUCUUGAACAAAUAUCACAUGAUUGUACAAAGUCUUUGGCUGCUUUUUACAUUUGAGGCCACCAAAAUUUUUUUGAUAUUAGCUUUGAAGUCUUAUUGUAUCCAAAAUAUCUAACUGUGAGAAAGGCGUCAACAGUUUGAAGAAUAUGUAAUUGUAUCCCAUCUUUUGGAAUGUAUAAUUGUCUCUCAAAAUAAAGUAGAUUAUUUUUGAAUUUGAAUUUAGAAGUAUCAUGAGUCUUAAAAGAAUUAUUCUUGAUAUCAUGGAUAAGAGGAUCAAAGGACAUACUUGAUUGAAUUUACUCGAUAAAGGUUGAAUCAACAAUCAAUGUUGAUUUUAUUGCUCAAAGAUAAAAAUGCUCAUGCUUCAAGAGAAUUAUUUUUUUUUGAUUAAAAGAUGAAUCUUCUUCUUUUAGUGCAAGAUAAAAACGUCUAAAAAAGGUAUUUGAUAUAUAUAUAUAUAUAUUUUUUUUAUCAAUAAGUAAUUUUGAAAUCAAAUCUUGAUAAAGGCAUGCUCCAACAAGUUUGAUGACAAUUCAAAACACGAGCCAACUUGAAAUAUUUGAGGUUCUUCUGAUUUGUAUAUACGAUGACUACAUUCAAGGUGCCUUCUAAAAAAUGAUGCCAUUCUUGAAAUGAAUCCAUGAUUGUAAAAAGCUCUUUGUUGUAGAUCUCAUAAUUAAUCUUGAUUGUUGAAAUUUUUCCGGAAUAAAAAGCUACUAGAUGCAAUUUAUCAUCUGCUUCCAUUUGUGAUAAUACUCUACCUAAGGCAAAUUCUGAUGCAUUUGUUUCUAUAAAAAAAUACCUAAAAAAUGUCAACAUGAUACAAGAUUGGUACAAAAAUAAAUUCCUUUUUUAAAGUAUCAAACGAUGCUUUGGCUUCUUUAUUCCACUUAAGUUUGUUUUUACAAGUCAAACAUAUAAGUAGAGUUGCAACUUGAAAAAAAUUCUUGAUGAAGAUCCAAUAGUAAUUGUCAAAGCCCAAAAAAAAUUGUACAUUUCUUACUAUUCUUGGAGCCUUUCAAUUUAUAAUAGUCUAUACCUUCUUUGGAUCUAUCAUUAGUUCUUUGUUGGAAAUAAUGUAUCCUAAAAAGUCAACUUGAGUAGUAUAGAAUACACACUUUUUUAAUUUGGCACAUAAUAUUGUAUCUUUAAGUUUUUGUAAUAUACAACAAAUAUAAACUUCAUGUUCUUUUAUAUUUAUAGAGUAGAUUAAGAUGUUUUCAAAAUAAAAAAAUGACAAAAUCAUUAAGAAACUUACAAAAACAUCAUUCAUUAGAUGUUGAAAAAGUAGCUAGUAUAAUUGUGAGUCCAAAAGGCAUGACAUUAUAUUCAAAAUGUCCAUACUUGGUUCGCAACGUAGUUUUCCAUUCACCUCUUUUUUUGAUGCGUACCAAAUUAUAUACUCCUUCUAGAUCUAUUUUUGUAUAAAUCUUUACUUAAUCUAGUUGAUCAAGAAUGCUUAAAACCAAAGGUAGAUGAUACCUAUUUUUAAUAGUGAUCUAGUUGAAUCCUCAAUAGUCCAAAAACAUCCAUAGAAAUUCAUCUUUUUUCUUCAUAAAUAAAAUAAGAGCUUUGGCUUGAGAUUUAGAAUGACAAAUGAAAAUUUUGGCCAAGUUCUCAUCAAUAUACUCAUUCAAAGCAAGCAUCUCAUUUUGUGAUAGGCUAUAGAUUGGUCUAAAUGGUGGUUGAGCUCCUUCGUAAAGAUCGAUGGAACAAUUAUAAAGAUAAUGCUUUGAAAGAAUAUCUAUAUUCUUAUUUUUAAAAAUAUCUUAGAAAUAUUGAUAGUAGCUAGAAAUAUUACUUGAUGCCUUCUCACUAUUAAAAAUAGGCAUGGCAUAUAUAGCAAACGAUAACUCUUUUUUUGCAAUAUGCAUAAAAGCUCUUGCACCUAUUAGUAAGGAUUUGGAUGUAUUAAACUUAUAUAUUUCUACUUGAUUAACAAGAUUUUAGAUUAAAUUAUCAAAAAAAUUAAGAUUAUAAAAAAUCAAAUCUAUUUGAAGAUUGUACUUUUCUAAUCAAGAUAAUUCUAAAAUAAUCGGAUUGGAUGGAGAUCUUAUUAUAUUAAAUAUUACUAUGCUAUUAUGAUCUUUAAUUGCUACAUCCAAAGAAACAGUCUCAUGCGUAAUAUCUCUAGAAGAUAGCAAAUGACCAUCUAUGACUUCUAAAUAUAUAAUUUUAAUUUUUUUGAUUAACAAUAACUCUUUUUUUUUGACAAAAUCUUCAUCUAUAAAAUAAGUUGAGGUUGUUGAAUCUAACAAAGCUAAAACUUUGUGAUUUUUUGAUCCUAAAUAAAUUUCUAUUGUAAAAUAAGAUGAAGGGUGUGAAAAAAGAAUAGAACCUUUACUAGGAUUUACGUAAGAUUUGAGCCACAUGGUCUCUAUUAUAGUUGGAGAAAUUUAUUUUUUGACACAUCAUCCUCUUUGACAACCAUGCUUCUCAUUUUGUGGUUAUAUUGUUUUUUUGGACAAUGUUGAGUACUGUAUUUAGUUUCUUCACAAUAUAAGCAUAAGUCCUCUUGACGUCAUCAAGUCUUUUCCUGCUCUAUGAGGGAUUUAAAAUAUACCAUAUCAAUUUGCAUUAAUUUUGGCCUUGAUGAAUGAUUUUUUGAAAACUUACAACUUGCCGUUAUUAUUUGAUUUGUUCUUCUUCAGCCAAAUCUUUGUUCUUGAUGUCUUUUAAAUAAUCAAUCAUUGUAUAUAAUGGCUUGAGCAAUAAAUUAUUCUAAAGAUUCUAACUUUGGCAUUGUUAGUAUCAAAUCUUUGAUAUUAUUCUUCAAUCCAUAUCAAAAUUGAUUGAUAAGAGCUUUGUCAAUCCAGUCCAUGUUGUAAGUGAGGUUUUGGAAUUUAAUAGUAUAUAUGGUGGAUGAUUACAAGCCUUGCUAUAAAGAUAAGCAUUUGAUCUUUGCUACUCUUUCUUGAUCACUUUUUCUGAGUGUGGCCAUAAACACUUCUAAGAAUGAAUUUAAAUCAUAUAGGAAUUGUAUUAAAGGUGAAAAUCAAGAGAAAGCACUUUUUGAUAGAAGUGUGCCUAUAAAUUUGACUUGAAUAAAUCCAUUGGGAUAGUGGAAGGGAUGCAAUCUUAGAUAGAGCUUGAUUUGUUGUAAAAAAUCUCAAAAUUUUGUUCUUGUUCCAUCAAAAUUCUCAGGCAUACUAAUCCUUAUUCCUAUCAUAUUUGUAGAAAAAAAACUCCUUGGAUUUGGUUAUAAGGUCAAUCUUCUUGCUUGCUUCAACUAUAAAUUUUUUUGACAUAGACUUUGAACUUCUUCCAUAGGCAUAGGAAGAAUAUCUCCAUGAUUCACGUUGAAAAUAUAUGAGAUUUUUACUCUUAGAAUGUUGGUAAGCUCAUGAAGAUCUAUAAUAGUUGCAAAUUUAUUUUCUUAACUAUUAAGAAUAGUAUCUAUAAUUUUUCCUUCUAUAGACAACUCAAAAAAAUUCAAGAUGUUAAAUUAGAAGAAGAUAUUUCAUAACCUUUAAUAUCAAAUGAAAUUUUUUAUAAAGAAGGAUAAUCCACUUUCUUUAAGGAAAAUAUCAAUGUUAAAAAAUAAGAUUUUCUAUUUAAAAGUGGAUAAUUUAUAACCUUCAAAAUAUAAUAAUAGAAGUAGGAUAAUCCACCCACUUUUAAAAUAAGACAAAAAUAAUAACUUAGCACUGUUAUUAAACUAUUAGAGACAUAAAUCUCAAAGAAAGAAAUUCUUCAAUACACUCUUUUGUCAUUAAAAAGAAUUAGAAGUCACUCAAAGAUGAUAUAAUAUUGAACUAGAAUGGCUAUUGCCAAAAAUAAGAAGACUAGAAAGUCUUGAAAUAAGACUAAGGACUAAAAAGAAGGCUUUACUCUUGCCUCCAAAUGUACUCUUAACUAAGAGCUACAUAGCAAUGUCCUAUAGGACCUCCAAAAUAUGUUGACUUUGCAAGACAUGUAUCUUAACUUAUAAAACAAGUUUUCUAUAUGUAUGCUACAUAGUUAACUUAUUAUACAAGCUACCAAUACGUGGUUAACUUAUUGACCAAAUUUCUAACCUAUCAAUCAAUUACAAACAUAUGUAAAGUCAAAUUAACAUCUAUGAAGCUUCUAAGAAACUUCUUUAGAAUUUUUUAUGAAAUUAAUCUAUUUUUAUCAACUUUUAUUUACUUCUAUCUAAUCAUAUAUAUAUUUAUUAGAAUAUCUAUAUAUAUAUAUAUAUACAUAUAUAUAUAUAUAUUCAUGAUACUAUAGAUAAGUUUAAAUUUAAAAUAUAAAAUUCAUAAAUUGUCAUAUGAUAACAUGACUAUUAGAUAAAAGAAAAAAAAAAUUAUAUUAUAAAAGAAAUUAAAUGUAAUAAUUCAAAAAAUUAUCUUAAAAGUAUAGAUAAUAGAUAAAGAGGUAAUAAAAAUUAAUAAAUAAUAAUGUUGCCUUCUUAAAGAAGAGACUUUAUUUACUUUGUAAGAGCAUAAGUGAUCCAAAUUAAAAUAAAUAAAAUAAAUAAUUAAUAAAAGCAUUUUAAAGAAGAGAUUAAAAAUAUGUUAUAGCAAAAAUCACCUCAAAAUAUGAAGAAUUGAUAUUUAAAGAAGACCAAUUGUGAACUAAGGUUGAAAUCAGACCUUGAGGUACAAAAUUACAUUCUUACAACAAUUCCAAGGCACUUUGGUUGAUCAGAGAGCAAGAUUUAAGACCAAACUUGUGAGAGGAUUUUUAAAAGUUUAUUUUGUGUGAAUUAAAGAUAUAUGGAGUUUUUGAAGGCUCUUUAAAAUAAGAAAUUUAUUCAAUAGAUUUAAAUUUUGAUAAAUAAAAAGAAAUUUAUAAAUUUGAAGAUUUUUUGAAUAUUAUAAUAUACUUAUAAGUGAAAUUUUUUCAAUUUAUAAUUGUGUUUGCUUUAAAUUAUUUUAAAUUUUUUGAUGUUUAUUUAAUAAUUAGAUUGGUAGUUAUGAGAUUUUUGUGGAUUAUGGUAUCAAAUAAUUGAAAUUUAGGAUCAAUAAGGAUUUUUUUGAUCUUUCAAAAUUUACCAAUUUGAUUAAAGCACAAAUUGGUGAGAGCAAUUUAGACUUAGAAAUCUACACACCAACCAAUUUUUGGAGCAUUUUACCAUUUCAGCAAAGAAAAAAGGUUGUUGGAAGGUUAACAUUCAAGCUAGAAAACGAAAGCAACCAACAUCCAAGAGGUUAUGGAAGCAUUUCAUUACAAUUUUUGAGUUUGAUUCUUUCCAAAUUUUGUAUUCUUGUUAAUUGCUUGUAAAUUGAAAUAUGAGUGAAAUUUUAGUUAAGCUCAAAAUUUUCAUUAAUGUUUAUUGAGAUUUUAAAAUAGCUUUGAAAAAUGAUUAUGAUUUACUUUAGAUUUGUUUAGGAUUUGUUUAGGAUUUGAUUAGGAUUUUAUUAGAAUUUGAUUAGGAUUUUAUUAGAAUUUGGUUUAAGAUUUGAUAUAGGAUUUAGGAUUUUAUUAGGAUUUCUCUAGGAAUUGAUUUAGAAUUUAGAAUUUUAUUAGUAUUUGGUUUAAAAUUUAGAAUUUGAUUAAGAUUUGAUAUAGGAUUUAUUUAAAAUUUAGUUAUAAUUUAAUUAAGUUUUUGUUAGAAUUUAUUUAGAAUUGCAUUAGGAUUUGAUUAGGGCUAAAUCAAGAUUUGAUCAAGAUUUAGUAAAGUUUUAUUUAAGAUUUAUUUAUGAUUUAUAUUUUUAAUAUUUCUUUAAUAUUUUUUGUUUUUUUAAAAAAAAAAUUUUAAUAAUAUUUUUAUAAAAUUAUUGUUAUUUUUAAGGAUUUUAUUUUGUAUUUAUUUAUUAUUUUUUUUCUUCUAAGAUUUCUUUAUUAUUUUUUUACAUUAAUUUAUGACUUUUUAUGCUUUUCUUAUGAUUUCUUUUAAAUUUCUUUUGGCUUGAUUAAAAUUUAAUUAUGGUUAUUAAGGAUUAUUUAGAAUUUAAUUAAAAUUCUAUUAGACUUAGUAGGAUCUUGUUGUUGUAUUUUUUAUUUAUCUUCCAUAGCUAGGUGUUUGGUGCAUUUUCAAGUAAGAAUUCAUGUUAUACAACAAUGCUAAAAAGAUCAAGGUAAAAAUCAAUAAUAAAAUUUUAUUCUAUUAUAUUUAUUAUUGCUCAUAUAAGAAAAAAAACUCUUCUCUCUAUCUUGAAGAAAAUUUCUAACAAAAAAAUUAGCUCACAUAGAUGCAAAUUUUUAUAGAAUUCUACUUUGCAAUAUUUAGGUAGUAGAGAUGAGCUAUUAUCAAGAAUAUUCAUUAUAAACAACUAAAAGUUUAAUACAUUCUUUUUUUAUUAGAAAAUAAUAGAAAAUUAUUCAAAGAUAAUAUAAUAUUAAAUCUAGAAUAGCUAUUGCCAAAGAUAAGAAGACUAGAGGCUCUUAAAACAAAACUAAGAACAAGAAAGGCAUUGAUAAGAGUGAAAAAGAAUUCACUCUUACCUCCAUAUAUACUAUCUAAUUAGGAGCUAAGUGAUGUUGUUCUAUAAGAUCUAGGACAUAUAUCAAACUUAUAAGACAUGUAUCUAAAUUAAAAAACAAGUUUUAUACAUAUACACUACAUGGCCAACUUGUAUUACAAAUUUUCAACAUGUGCAACAUGCGACUAACUUCUUGAAAAAGUUUCUAACCUACCAAUUAAUUAUAAAUAUAUUUAAAUUUAAAUCUAUAUUUAUGAAGUUUUUAAGAAGCUACUCCAUAAUAUAUUAUCAAAUCUAUCUAUAUAUAUUAAUUAACUAUCACUUCUUAUCAAGAUAAUUAUGUAUGUCCAUAACAAGUAUGGAGGGGUGACUAUUGAGAUAAAGGUACACAACCAUGAUGUACCUCUCAUUCUUUUUGAUUAUCCUAGUCCAUGGAUUCUAUCUUUUGAUAAUGUUGCUACCAUCAAAUAUGUAAACAAAAGAAGGGCUACUUUUAGAACAAUUUUAUUUACCAUUUUCUAACAAAAUAAAUCUUUAGAAGUUGUUAUUUGAAAUAUAUACAAUGCCAAAAAAUUAUUGCAUGCAAUUAAUCUCUAAGUUUGUACCCUAUUGGAAGCAUUGUUAGAUAAACCACAAACAAAUAAUGUUUGUCAUGCUUUCAAAUGUGAUAUUUUUGGCCACUUUAUACAUCUAUUUUUUACUUUAAAGAACUUUGUAACACUUAUAAAAGAUUUUUUUUUUUUUUUUUUAUAGUUUUGCUACUAGAUUUUACAAAUAAAACCAAUUGAUAAUUUUUUUGUGUUUAUGUGUAUUUUAUGUCUUUUUCUUCAUACUUAUUUGUAAAUGGUAUCUCAAUUGCUUCAUCCUAUUGUUUCUACUUUAAUAGAAAAAAAUAUAAUAAAUAUGUUAAUUUAUGUAUCCCUCUUAUGAAGUCUAGGAUUUGAGGUCAAAUGUUUUUUUAAGAAAAUAAGACUCUAUUUAGCUAAUUGAUGUAAUAGUUAAUGAACUUUUUUAUAGUUGUAUAUUCACUUUCAACAUGUCUUACUUACAUAUUAUUAAUUCUACUACCACAACAUGUCAUUUUUUCUUAGUUUUUUUUUCAUACAAGGCAAAACAUAUAUAGAUUACUUAUGGUCUUUAAAACAUAUUUGGAAUAUCUUUAGAGAUAGAAAGACACCAUGGAUGAUAGUCACAAACCACUAACUAGAGUCAAUAGAAACUUUGAUCUUACAUUAGACUUGCUUUGUUUAUACAUAGACAAGAAAGGUGAUGUCUUUUGAAUAUUUUAUUACCAAUUAUAUUGAAAAAAAUUACUUGGCUAUAAAAGAAUGAAUUAUGGUAUCAACUAACAACUCAAAGAACAUUUACAACAAAAUAAUCUUAUUUGAAGAAAGUCAAGAUUGUGUUAUAUGUCAUGGAAAUAUAUGCAAAUCAAGCAAAAUUUUAUUCUUGUAUUCCAAUUCUUUUCAACACCUUAUUAUCUAAAAAAAAUCUCCUAUUAUGCCUUACAUAAGAUUCUUAAUGAAUUAAAAAAAAAAAAAAAAAAAAAAAAAAAUCACAUAGUAGAUGAUUAUAUAAUCUUGAAUUGUAUUGGUUUCUUAUAAAUAAGUAAAAGAUCUUUCAUGUUCCUAAAAAUUGAAGAGAUUGUUGAAUGCUACUAAAUUUCUUCUUUUCAAUCUUUUUUAUCAAUAUUAUUGCUUAAAAUCAACGUCUUCCUAUUAAGAAAUAUCAAAUAAUUUAAGCUUAAAAAAGAUUUUGUUACAAAUUAUACCUUGUUAUGAAGAACUCUUAUAACAUAAAUAAUGGUUUUUGGAGCAAUUGGUUCAAAUCCUUUUAUGAAUAGAACAAGGUAUAAUAAAUUUGCAUAUUACACAAAUAAGAAGACAUCUUGGCAAUAUGGCUUAUCUUCUCUCUUCAAGCAUUUCAAAAGAACUUAUUGCAUUUGAAUUUGUGGAGAAGAGGAAAAGAUAGCACUAUACAAAAUGUAGAGAAAUUGGACACAAUAAGCACAAUUGUCCACAAUUUUUUUCAGGAAAGGUAUCCACAUUAUUAAAAAAAACAAGUGACUACAUAAAAAAAGAGUCUUUUGUAAUAAAAACAAGGUGUUUACAAAAUAAAGGAGAGAUGUCCUUCUAAAAAUUUUUGUAUUAAAUUAUCUUAUAUAGAAUAAAUAAUCAAUUCUUUUCAAAAACAACAUAAGACAAUAUUAUUACAUAUUUUUUCUAACAACAUUUGAGAUUUAAUUUACGAUAUUUAUAAAAAAAUACAAUAAAACAUCAUUAUAUAUUGAAUAAAUAAAAAUUUAUAAUAACAUAAUAUUUCAAAUAUAGUAAAUGACACUAAUAUAACAAUAAUUAACAAAGUAUUCUUACUAUUGUUUUUAUAUUCAAAUAUUAUUAAAUAUAUUCAUGUGCUUUCUUAACCAAUAAAUUAAAGACUUUCUACACAAAUUUUGGUAUUUUGAAUAAUAAAUAAAACUAAAAUUAUAUCCACAUUUUGUCUAAAAUAAAAUCUUAAAAUUUAUCAUUAGAACUUAUCUUGCUACACAUUGUAUUUCAAAAAAAAAAUCUAUUCUAAUAAAUCACAGCGCAUUAAACAAAAAGACAUACAUUGUAUAGCUUUUGAACGAAAUUUGUACAAAAAUUUAUGCAGUAUUGCAAGAAUCUUUAAUCUGGCCAAAAACUCAAAUUCUUUAAAUAAGAUGCUUAUCUAAGAUUUGUUGUAUGUUUAAACACCAAUUUGUCUAAACAACCAUCCGCUUCACAGUAACACAUUUUUUUGUCACGAAAUGAACAAUAUCGAUAUUAAAACAUCAAUGUAGAACAAAAUUAGAAGUGAAACAUAAACAAUAAAAAACAUGUUCUUCUUCCUACUGCAAUGCUAGGUAGCAAGUAUAUUUCAUAACUAUGUUAUAUUCAUGACAUUAACGUAUCCACCCAUAGCGCUUAAUGAAAAUGAUCCAAUCUAAUCAAUCAAGGCCGAGCACUACAUUCUCUGGUCCUCAACUCUGCUCACAAGUAACCAGCAGGAAAUUGAGUUCUUACAAGAUAUAUUCCAUCAUCUUCCAUUUCUACGAUGCCAACACUACAAAACCAGCCCACUGCAGAAAUAUGUUUUAUCCAAUUUUCAUCUACUUAUACGAGCUCAGAACUUCUGGAUCUCUGAGACUGAAAACCUCUGCAGACAUGCAAAUAUUCAAGCCCAACGCAAGUUGAAAACAAUACACAUCAUCUGUCCACCGUUGUGAACUUACCUGUUAAGCUCAAGACAAAGCAUCACCGACUUCCUGAAUGAACGUUGCUUUCCUCGAAGCAGUUGAUGCACUCCCUUCGAUCUGGUUGAUCAAUCUGUAAAGACUACACCAUACACAGACAAUGCAAAGGCAAUACUAGAUUUUAUGUGUUUUGAUCAGAGAGCUAUCUAUCCUACAGACACAAAUCCACAACGACACGAGUUCCGCACCAUGUCAAAAACACAAAAGGUGGCUGAUCAAUCGUUGAUGCGAUCCGCCGAAAAACUGGAACCGUGUGGUGAAUUCGAAGUUCGAAGAUCAGUUAGUUAUAUUGCCCAUACUGUGGCAUGUACUGCUGAGCGUAAGGGGCCGGAGCUGCACCCUGUUGUUGUUGAGAAUAUGGAUAUGCUCCCCCAUAGCUCAUAGCAGCAAGAGCUCUCGCCUCAUGACCUGGAGCUGCUGCUGGUACACCAUAUGAGCCUUGUCCAUACUGCUCUGCGCCAUACAUGGGAUUGUUGUAGGCUUCAUAUCCAGCUUGUCCUGGAAAGGCUUCAUAUGCAGCAAAUUGUGUGCCAUACUGUGCACCAUAUUGUGUUUGAGCUCCAUAUGCCAGCGGUUGGGGUGGCACUGCAACGGGAGCCAUCGCUCCAGGAGACAUUCCUGGAGGAGGUACUGGCCAUGGAGGAGUUGCUGGCGAAGGAGGUGAAGGGGGUGCUGACGAAGCUGAAGGCGAAGGGGAUGCUGCAGGUGUUGCAAAAGCCUCAGAUUUGUCCUCUUUCUUGCCUUUGUCCGCUUUCUUGCCUUUCUCAGCGUCGCCAUAGCUUUCUUCUCCCUCCUCAUCGUUUCGUUCCUCUUUCGCUUCCUUCGCACCAGUCUUGUCGUGAUUUGCAGCUUCCUCUGCGAGCUUUUUAUCUUGAAUUGCUUCCAACAUAACCUGUUUUUUAGCUUUCUUUGCAUCUAACUUGGCUUGCUUCUUCGUUUCCUUGGCCCUUCUGGCAUCACCUUCGGGAUCGGCCAUGCAGCCACCUUUCUUGAACAUACUUUGGAAAAGUCCUGUAGCCUUGAUACAAUGCUUGCAAGUGGACGUAAAAGACCAGCAGAAGCCGCAAGUGGGUUGCAGACAUUUCUGACCUAUUCUCCACAUUACUUUCAAAAGUUUACAUGGAAGCAUAACCAGAACAGCGAACCACAGUUUUUUGCCGUGCCUUUUUUCCAGCGAUUUGUAUCCUCUUUCCCAAGCUUUCACGUAACCCUUAUGAAACGAUUUCAAAGGACUAAUAAGCAGUUUUGCAAGAGUCGGAUAAUUACUCUCAUACUCGGCCAGCCGCCUCUGAUAACUCAACACAUCGUCGAUUUGCCCCAGGAAGAAAAGGCAAAGAAGCACUGGUAUCGAGACCACAGGAUUAGUCAAUCAAUUGGCGUGAAUUGGGCAUGGUUCAAGAUAUUUCACAUGAGCCCACCGCUCUAUCCAACUAAGGAACAAGAGGAGUCAUGUUAUACAAACUAUCAACAAUGAACACAUUACGAGCGGAUACAAUCCCUUAUUAGCUUAAGAGCUGCACCAAACAAAAUUGUUAUACUCGCUGAACAGGGUUUUGGUUAUAGUGGUUGCUGCACUCACAUCCAACCAAAACGAAAACGAAUCCGAUGUUCACCAUAACAACUUUCCAGCAACUCUUCGUCACGUAACAUCCCCAGACGGUAUCCUCCGGGCAGUCCCUGCAUUACAUGAAGCUUCAGCAUUCCAUACACAGCGAUCCCUUCUACCUCACCGUGAGGUGUUUGAUCGAGAAUUUGGCGACCUUCAAGCAUGAUAAUCUUCUUACAUACAGAAAAAAGCCAACAUGGGUACAUGAGAGAAAUGGGGGCACGUACUCGCAUUUUACCCCAAACCAUUCAGCGAUUUUUUUGCUGCUAACCAGGACAUGAAACGGAUUUCCGAAACGCCAAAUUAAUCGCCACGACGAAGAUGGUGAUGGCGCUUCAGCACCUGACCCAUCUGGCGCUGCAGGAACUCCUGAGGCUGCAGAUUCUGGCGGCGCUGAAUGCCUGUUACCCUGACAUAAUGGCAAUGAAACAAAAAAAAUUGUUGUCAAAAGUUUGAGUAUGGCUUGAAUGCAAACUGGACAUGAAUUCUUCUUGCAACACUUUGAAGCUGACCCACACGGUGUACUUGCUAUCUCCGACCUAUUUCCCAUCACCAUAACAGAAAGUGUUUGUAGCCAUUUUGACGAUGUGGGUACCAGUUCAUUACCAUGUUUACGAAUAACACACACCAUGCAUACACAACUGUGAACUCACCUCUUGUCGAAUUACUACAAACACAAACGGAGAAAUGAAAAACGAAAAGCUGCAAAUCCCAUGAGAAUUCGAAGACGCAACAAUAGCCCACAAAGCAGGAAGUGUAGCAACUUGCUCACCAUUUAGGUCACAAUCCUCCUCUAAGGUCCAUCAUACUCAGCUUCGUUUCUGCCAUGGCCAUACAAUGAAUUCACAGUUCCUGCUUGACUUGCUUGCAAUUCCAGGCAAACAGAAAAACCAGAAAAACCAGAAAAAACAAACAAGCAAACAAACAAGCAAACAAACAAACAAACAAACAAGCAAACAAACAAACAAACAAACAAACAAACACUACAAGAAAAACAGCAACAGUUAAGGAAGAAAAAAAAUUAAAAAAUUAAAAAUAAAACAAAACUAAGAGUUGUUUUCUAUGGGAUACAAGGAGCUAAUCCCACAGGUGCAACUCUCUCAUGUAAAUUGAUUGAAACCUGUUUAUUGACGCUUUUGAUUCAUUUACUGUAAAUAAAUGUGACGUAAUAUGUUAAUAGAUUUCUUUUUUCUUUUUCUCUUUUGUUGGCGUUGAACCUUGAAUGAAAAUUGUGAAAUGAUCGCCAAAUGUCUAAUAUCGAACAUAUGCUAAUAAAUGAAAUGGCUUAAGGUAAGUCCAAUCUUUUCUGUCAAUCGAUUAAAUAAAAUGAAGGAACCUUGGAAUUGUGAGCACAAAUAAUAUUUUUAUUAUUAUUAUUAUUAACAAUUUUUUUAUUUUCUUGAUAAUAAUUUUCAAUAUUAGCAAAAAAAUUAAUAUUAAAAUUUUCAAAGUUUUUUUGCAUGAAUAUAAAAUGAGUUUUGUAAUAUAUUUUUCCUAUCAUUUAUUGAUGUUGGUUAAUUUUUUAUUCUCUAAAUGUAUCAGAAUUUGUCGUAAUUUAUUAGUUAUAAAAUUCAUCACUUGAUCAAUUUGUAAUUCUGAAGCUACAGUGUAGGUUGAUAUGAAAAAUAUAUUUUAAGAAAUUAUAUGUAAUCAUUUUUUUUUGUUCAAUGUUUGAAAAUCCAAGAAAACACCAAUAUAUAUAUAUUAUAUUUUCUUCUAAUAUAUAACAACAAACAUUAAUUGAUUGUCAAAAAUAAAAUAAAAGUAAAAAAAUUAUAUUUAAAUUUCUCAUAAAUUUAAAUAGUAAAUACUAAAAUUUAAAUUAAAAUAUGUACAAAAAAUCAAGUGUUCAAUAUAUAUUUUGUAAAAUAUAAAGAAAAUUUUUAAAUUGACCUAAGCAUUUACUAAAUUAAUGUAAUGUUUGAUAUAUACUUCAAUAUAUUUUUCUUAUGGUUUUUACAUACUUAUAUUCUAAUCAUAUGUUGUAAUUUUUAAAAUGAAUUGUGAGUAGGAAAAAACAGAUUUUGUGUAUUUAAAUUACUCUUUUUAUUCUAGUUGAUUAAAAUAACUUGGUUUUUAUCUUAAAAAUUAAGAUAACAUAAAGUAAUUAAUAUUUAUAUUUAUAUUUUUGAUAUUAAAGUUAUAGAAAUUUGGCAAAGAAUAAUUUCUUAGAUAAUUUUUACUUUUUUAAGCUAAUCUUUUAGAUAAGAUUUAUUUAUUUGAUUUUUUCAAAAAAAAACAUAUUCAAAGAAUCAAAGAUUUAAAUUGGUUCUUUUUAAAACAAUCGAAGAACUAAAGAUUAUCUAAAACUUUAUCUAAAGAAUAGUAGUAGAAGGAAUCUUACUACAUCCUAGCAAACACUUUCAAUGAACAAUAUACUUUUGAAGACAUUGAAAAUUAAACCAGAACCCAAUAUUUUUAGUUAAAAAAUAAAAAGGACCAAAUUACACAAUCAAAUACGUCAGAAGUUGAUAAUUUCAAAAAGUAAUUUUGUACUUUUUUUGCUGAAUCAGGAUUAUUGAACUUCUAAAAGACAGAGAUUGGUGGAUGUCCAUAAGUUGGAGAAAAUGGAAAAAUCCUCAAAUUAACCCAGUCGCAUGUUGGAACCAAAAGAAAAUCAUUGACUGAUCCACAAGUCCUUCAUCUCAUCUUAACAACUCUUUUGUAGUGCUUUGGAAUUGUCAACUGAAGUUUUCGACAUUCUUCCAACCAGUCAAAUGUGAAGAGUGUCAUGGCUUUUCUUCAGUAUUUCAAAUUGUAGAAUUCUGUGCUCUUACGAAUCUUUGUUCACAAAACAGAGGUUCUGAGCAAAAUGGAGUCUGAUAACUAAUCAAAUUAAUAGCAGGGCCAACAAGUCCAGUAGCGAGGAGCAGGCAGUUCAAAAGCUCACCUCAAUAUUCAGGAAAAGGAAAAACCCCAGGUUACAUUCAAUGCUUGAUUAUAUCCCAAUGUCCCAGUGUCGAAAUAAUUCUACAUGUGCACAUACAGAGAAUGGAUAAAUUGUCUGAUUUACAACAAGGCCAUCGAUGGAGAAGCGCAACAAGAACUUCAUGAGGCCACAGUAAACAGAACCUAUGGCAUCAACAAGUUCCAAGUUUCAUAAACCAUCGAGAACAUGUCGAGCUUUAUUUGACAAAAAAGUGAAGCCAACUUAUUGACGGUGCAGGUCCAAUCAAACUGUCUCAAUACAUGUAUAGAAGGAUUGAUUUGGUCUAUUCCAUGAAAGAAUUUACACUUUGAUGUGAAUACUUAAAGUUGAGGUUUUAGGGCGACGGAACUAAGCAACUAGGACGAAUGAACUAAAGAGAGGAUAGAGGUUUCAAUCACUACAAGGUGCUGUUCAAGUACAGAAAUGUUCCUACAAUCCCAAGGAUACCAACAGCGAUACCAAUGGGAAGCGCUUGUCUGCACAUGGAAAACCAACAUAGACUUUGUCAAGAACCAGGAAUACAGAAAUUUACAAAAUCUUCGAAUAGUACAAAAACGAAUUGGAACAAAUUUUCAACUUAUCACACGCUCGAAUAUCUACUUACAAUGCCUAAUAUUAACGCAGGCGUGAUCUUCCAUAAUAUGGGGCUUUCACAGGAGUGACGAUAGUGCGACACCAGAAGAAAUUGACGACAAGAGAACUAAAAUAAUUUCGUUGCAGCAACCACUCGUUUAGACUCUUGAGAUAACAGAACAAAUAACUGACCCGAAUGCUGCAUUUGUCUUCUUCAAUUCCUCCUUGCGGGCCUUCCGAACAGCCAAGUCGUUGGCGUUCCUAGCCACUGGUGCAUCGUAGACCUUGAACCUUCUCUUCGGUGCAAGACAGACUUCCCCAACAAAUCAUGUUAGUCUAUGGCAAAUCUUGUUAAUCUAGUCUCUGUAAGUUGAAACAUCUAUCUGACAAUAUAAUGACGAAAUAGUUACAAUAGAUAACUCACAAUUUUAUAUUCAAAUCUACCCUGGGAAGAGUAUCUAGUGAAUUGUAUGUUGUAGGAAAUACUCUUCCGACAGGGAGACAGCCAGUUAAUUAUCCAGACACCUCUUCGACAUUAAGAGUGGCAGCAAAAUCGAUUUCUAAAAAUAACGAACAACAACACAUCAAUCUAGAUUCUGACGUAAUGUCGUCGCAUCACAAACUUGUAAAAAGGAACAUGCAACAAUCGUCCACCAAUGAAAGCAAGGCUUGAGGAUGUUUUAGACAGCGAACAUGCAAUCUGUACAGGGAGGAGGUGCUGCGAGGGUAGGCAAGUUACCGGGGCAAGAAUAGUCGGUAGGUAGCGAUGUAAAUGGCUGCUUAUCAUUGUAAAUGUACCUGUUGCAAAACCACAAUUCAGCAAAGAGCACAUGAAUACGAGCAUGACAACCCUCUAACUGAUUAGUAUGAUGAUACAGAGCUAGUAUAAUAAUUUCUGAUUAGGAUUUGCCUCCAGUGUUUGUUGACGCAAGUGCAACACUAUUAGAUGGCAUCCUGAAGGCCGUCAAGAGCCUAGUCACAAUUCUGCUACUGUAAAGGGAGAAACAAUCAAUUUCCUCAUACGUCGAGGGGAUCAUAGAAUACAAAAUGGCUCUUUCCAAAACAACGCUGCUCGUCACAAUAGGGGAGGCACUUAUCGAUUGAAUAACAGAAUUAUUUAGACCUCAGUACAGUCGAUACAGAACAAAUUAUGGCAAGCCAUAAGAGGAUUACAAGAAACAGUAAAUGAGCAAUUCCAUGUGGAUACGAGAUGCCUCGCUUCCACAACAUAAAGAUUGUUCUCAGCACUGUGCUACCCACCAUGGAAAUGAUGACAGAAUUUCUUAAACUAACACGGGAGAAGCUCGCCGCACUCUAUCUUUGCAUCCCCCCCCCCUCCACUAAACACAUUCGUCCUGUCAUCGAUUAAUAGGAUUCGUACUCCCAAUGCCUAACCCAGUUCACCAAUCUUUUAAAGGGACAAGGUCGAAGAGCCAAACAACAAGGUACCAAUCUAAUGUUCAUGCACAAGGCAGCGACGACAUACCCGCAGUCCUGGCAGAUGUAGGCAGUCUUAGCUGCAGCGCGCAUGGUAAUCCUCGGAGGCGCAGACCCAAGGCCCUCAGGUAUGAUCACGGCAGCCGAGAACGCCCUGCCUCCAUUGUUGAAGGAGCUCUUGAGCGCCAUCCGGUCGAUGGGUGCGCAGAGACCCCUCACGUCGCCCAAUGCACCCAUCUUCUGUCCAUGCUUCGCCAAGAUUCCAACCACAUCUUGCACCGCCAACCCAGCAGCUGCCAUUGCGUCCAAUCACCCACUUCCUUCAACAAGCGCAAGGCAAAUCCGCAAACGACGCACUCUACAGCAGCAGCAGCAGCAACUCACGUAGCGGGAUUGCGAUUGUGUCACCAAUUUGCUAGCCCAGGAAUUAUGCAAGGGCGUGUGAAGAGGAUGACGAGAUGAGGAUCGAAGACAGGUGGUGGGCACGGGCUCUGGGCUGACGACGAUGACGGGGCAGGGUGAAGUCCGCGACGGACGCGAGUUAAAGUGCGGGGUUCCACCUCAUAAUCGCUUGACCCAUAAUCCUGCACUUUUCAGAGACCCUUCUCAAUGCGUUUUUUACAGCUCCACCGUCGCACUGUAAACAGACGUCGCUAGAAUUUUGCUGGGUGACUCUUGUUUUCGGGGUGUGGGUUUUAUUCAUUUCGACAAAAUUCCCUCACGACGGUUUGCUACAUCGACGGCACCUCGCGAACUUCUUAUCCACAACUCACGGCUGCAGAGCUCUCUCUCGUUCUGGGGCGAGAAUCGAAUCGAAUCGAAUCGUAUCUCACCACGAAGCCUCCGGAAAUCGUCUCCUGGGUAUCACUAAAAUUGUAUUUCAGGUGCGACAUGGUUUGCUCUUAAACUAUAUCUCUAGAGAUCAUUUGGUGCGCCCAGUUUUUGCGCUUGCAAAAGUGAAUUGAGUAUAAAAAUUGUUUCAAAUCAGUGCAAGAAUGAUGCUGGUCCCCCUUCAUGUUAAGGAAAUGAAAAGAAUGUGUCCUCAAUUGGGAUUCCGUAUGGAUAACAAAACAUCAUCAUGUACACGAGUCUUCGUGUGCUGCUCUUAAGAAUUUCUAUCAAUUCUUCAAUCGCUACGAAAGCUCUGGCCUACUUCAACAUGCCGAAAGCAAAUGUAAACGGGAGAGUGGGCUAUCAAAAAGCUCGCAAAAAAGAGCUAGACCAUGCCGUGGUCGACAAGCUCCUGCAGACCUUUGUUUAACCUAGCGGCGGCAAUGUGACAUUUCUCCUGCGUCAAUCCACCGUAAGAGAUGCGAAUGAAGCCAGCGCCCCCGCUGGCGCUUCCUGGGAUCACACUCACACCGUGUCUCUUCACGAGCCAUCUGACAACUGCGACGUCGUCAGCAACUUCGUUUGUCGCCUUGUCCUUGGGCAGCUGGGCCCAGAGGUAGAUGGCGCCCUCCCCACCUUUCACAGCGCCCUGUCCCAGAGGUGAGAGUGCCUCCAGCAGGACUUCUCGAUUCUUCCCUAAUCUCUGCACCCUCUCCAGCACCCACUCGGGCCCCACUUGCAGCGCUGCGAGCGCCAAUUUUUGGCCAAUUAUGGAUGCGCAAAUGGGGAUGUUGUCCUGCACUUUCAGCAACUGCGCUCCCAUUCCUACAACCCCAGCCGGAUAUGCGAUCUGCAACAUCAACAAGACAGCCCACAGCCACUUGUUACAAAGUAUUCGGAAACUGGUGAUGCUACCAUAAAAUGCACUGAAAGAAACGAGGCACGGAAAAUCAAGCAUGUUGAGGAAUUUGGAAGAGUUCUUACAUAGCCAACUCUCCAUCCCAUCAUGCCAUGUGCUUUAGAGAAUGAAAAUAUGUUGAUUAUGUGAUCGCCUUCGAUACAUGCGUGUUUACAAUCAUCGUACAUGAAAUAUCUGUUCCCAUGUGCAAUCACCUCAGAAUCAAGACUGGUACCUUAACUUUAGUAAAAAUAAAUCAGUGCUUAAUGCAAUCUAGAGUGAAUACGCUGGAUGUGCCAUGAAGUUCUUAAAAUACACUAGGCACUUGAAGGAAGCUGCUAAAGAUUCAGAAAUGUUGUGUGUCAUCAAGGUCUUACUCAUAUGUAUUGUCGACGAUGAGCCAAGACCCAGCUUCUCGGCACAUCUCUGAUAUCCUCUGCAUUUAACCAGAAGAACGUCAGUCAAUAAUUCAGAGACAAAACGAGAGACUUGUUCAGAUUGACUAAGCAGGAGACAAUUCAGGAGAUGUAACCAACAUGUCGAGUAAGCUUUACAACCUCUAAACUGGAGGUGAUUAGUACCUUUAAGAGUGGUUCAGGAACGUAUGUUCCAGAGGGGUUGCCAGGAUUGACGAUAGACACCACCUUAGGUAUUUUCUUUGGAUCCUUAUUUUGUAGUAAUUUCUCCAACCAAUCUACAACAAUGAGCACAUACUAAUCACAUGAAAGUUGCGUUCAGACAACAGUACUACGAAGGUGUGAGAAUUUCAUAGUUGCGAAGACGAUAAGUUCAUUUUGAUCUGGGACAAUCCCAAGAGUAAGUAGUUCGAAGACAUAACCAACCUGCAUCUGGGUGCAAGUCAGAAUCACUCGGACCCAAUACAAUGUCAGUUACACCUGUCAUUUGAUAGGCCAUGAAGGCAUUGAAAUAAUAGGGCACAAACAAGACCACUCUGUCUCCUGGAUCGCACAGUGUGAGGACCACGUUCACGUAGGCCUGGAACAAACCCAAAUUCACAAUUGGUGAACUUGUAACGAUACAGAAAUUCGGACAAUAACCAAAAUGGAAAGAAAUCACGUCCUACAAAUGCUCAAAUUACUGCAAAAUAGAGAGAUAAAAGUACGAGACAAAGCAUAGAAAGUUUCAAAUUCACUACAAAAUCUACACCAACCCUAUCGAGUAUCGAACAUCAAACCAACAAUAUUAAUAUGAAGAGCAUCAACAGUCAGACGUCACAUGUUCAUUACGCCAAAGAACGCCAGAGAGCACAACGAACUCAGAAGACGAUGCGACAUAUUCUACAAUAAUUGAGCUACUCAGAUGUUACAUUAAACCUUGAUUUAGGGUGGCUAGACAAGAAAUAUUUCCACGCAAAGGAAGCAGAAGUUUACAGGACAUACUAACCUGGUUAGCACCUGCAGUAACCAUAACAGAGGAGCUGUAGAGCUUAUUCUCCCGCUUUAGCUGUAGUCCACAUAAAUAUAAAUCCGGUCAGAGGGAUUGAACUUCAAAAAAAUCAGGUAUAGUGCUGACUAAGAAACGUGUUCAAUCAGUUAAUGCUAUGCACAUCACUCUACACUUCACCGUCUCUAAAGAAUAGUAUCGAAAAAAGUAUUUAAGUAGAAAUUGGACAAUGCCUUCUCUAAAAGAGCCUCUCGAAGUUCUGGUAGGCCCUCGUCUGCACCAUAUUGGCUUGUUGAGGGCUCGUCGACAAUAAUUUUUAUCUUCGACAACGCUUCUUCAGGCGGCUGCCAAUGCACUACACCCUGCCUUCCCUCUUCCCAGGUUAGCAAUUUACGUGUGGGAAUGGUUCACCAUAACUCAAGAAAAAUAGGGGUAUGCCUGAAGAAUAUCAUUUGUAAGCUUCAUUGAAGAAAAAGUAAUACGUCAAUCAACAUAAGAGGCUGGAAUAGGCGCUGCCGCCAAGUUACAGUCAUCAUCAAUAAGGUUAUCUCACAAUCAGCAUUGAACAGCUCUUUGGACGACUCCACAUUAUUUGGGUAUUUAAAUCAUUUCUUUUCAGCAGCCGUCUCAAUCUCCUCGGUUAUCACUACGAAUGAGACGGCCAGAAUGUGCACGGCAGAUCAGAGAGACAGAUGCACCUGUGCCAAUGAUAUAACAUCUGUUGCACCACGUAACAACUCCUGCAUCUGCAAAUACAAAUACAGAAUACAGAUGGAUGAAAAGCGUCGAAAUGAACACACAUCUCUCUGAUGUCAUGUUGACAGGUGUGAAAAUACACCGAGUAAAUGCAGUGGCACGUUAUCAGAUGAAACAAUAAAGACGUGGAGCGUAUCUGCUUUCACGCACGGUUUGAGUUCGACAAACAUGUCCAUGCAUCUAAUAGAACUGAAAGUCGCUCAGCUGCAAUUACAGCCGACACUAACAGCAAGGGCAAGCGACAACGUUUCGCAAACUCUUCUAAACCUCAAAAACCAUUUGAAUUAAAGGUAACCAGUCCCUGCACUGCGAGCUAAGUCAUAUAAAUUUGUACACGCUUACUUUGACACUAUUUACUCCGGCUUACAGCUCUAACACUAUAUCCAAAUAGAUCUCCUGAAAGGACCCAAGACAUUAGAAAUUAGUUGCGUUUGUUUCAAUCGGGCUGCACCUUGCUCUGUCUAAGGGCUAAGGCAAAUACAAAGGCAUUGACUCGCUAAAAAUACUGAUCCAACUACGAGAAAAGGAAGACGUCGCCCUGGUAGCAGUUCCCAUACCUGAGCAGAGUUAUCUAACGCUGAGGGGUAGAAAGAGUUUCUCUAAAACCUGGAACUGAUGUCCGCAUUGCUCGCUAAACAAAACCUUCUACUUGAUCGAUUAGGCCAUCGUCGUAGGCGUUUCAGCAGGUAGAGUAAUCGUACCUGAACCAUGACAGGCGUCUCGGUUCCCAUUACUCGCCGUGCCAAUUUGGAAGCCAUCUGGGCCAUCGCCAUCGCCGGAGAGACCUAGAGGGGGAGAAAACCAAUUCUAGAAGCAGAAACGCUAAACUUCAGUCAGGCAAAAUUCUGACAGUAUCUUGCUUUCAAGACGGAAACAACAGAAGAGAAAUCUAGAGUAUAACCCACAUGGCUGAACCCUCACAACCUUGAUAAAACAAAAAAACGCAUGGAACGGCUAUGGAAGAUGGAUCUAUCAUGGACAGAAUACGGCACGAGAAAGAAAGUGUGUGUGUGUGCGUGUGCGAGAGAGAGAGAGAGAGAGAGAGAGAACCCAGAAUGCUCGAUUUAGUCAGGGGAAGGGGAAAUGAUUGACGUGCACACCUCGAGAUCGUGCUGCUGUUAGAAUCUCUACGUUCAGCAACCACGGACCAGAGGAAACAGGGCAAUGUACAGAAGUUCAAGAUCCGUUUCAGCCGCUGUCUUCACACGUCAGGAAUCGAUUGCUGCAAAUUCACCCCUCGACCUCCCUACUCAACACCAACCCUUUCCUGUGCAGAAAUUCCAAGCUCUAGUGUGAGCGCAUACCCAGCUAACAGCAUCUCACACCAAAAGGAGGAAAUAAAAAUAAAUACAAACAACUACCCUUCUCUCCUCUACCUCUUUCCAAAGAAUGUUUCCAACGAAUUUUCAACGAAAGCGGCAGAUAACGACCCAAUCCGACAUUCGACGCAGAAGUGCACUCGCAACUCACACGAAACAACUGAAAUUUAAUCUACUUUCGGCUAACGUCACCAAAAUCCUCACAAUAUAUCUCUCAAGGCUCUCCGAUCACUCGCAUGGUGCGCCACCGAACCACACUCGACGACGCUGCGACAACACAAACACCCAACCUCCUAGGUGAGGAGAGGAAACCACAGUCCAGACACACAGAGCUUGUCAGGCCCCAGAGAACCAUAAUGAAGGCUGUCUCCAAAACCUCCUGCACAACAGCUCUCUGGCACACACAACUCCAGAGGACACCCGCAACAGAGGGACGUAAAAGCCUUUCUUAGGGGCAUCAAAGAGACAACCGUGGCAGCACACACGGGGAGACAAGAAGCUCAGAUGCCAGCAUACCCUGUCACGUAUCUCCACCUCGCUGGCAACGCUCAUCCGCAUUCACUCACUGUUCCCACACCCACUUGGGCAGAUUGCCACUCACGCCCGCUCCGCAACCAAUUGCAGCUCCCAGGCUCGCCGAAACUUACAUACACACACACACAUACACACACAAUCAUCACACUCAAAGACUUGGGAGGGCGAAGGGGGCCGAGCGGGGAAGAGAGGAAAGGAGGGGCAAGCUCCGGAGAAAGUAAUAAGCGGAAUCUUUCUCCGAUGCGGGGAAACACGCUUGUCGCAAAUGGUAACUCACACCAGUCGCCACCCAUCAUGCUUUUUUGACCUGACCGUGUCUCUCCCAAUUCUUUAAUGCUCGGCACCUCUCUUUCUUUCCUUUCUCUUUCCCUUUCCGUCAUCACAGCAGCUUCAUAUGCCACUGACGCUGUAGAGUUUACUUCAUUCAUUGUGGUGUGUCAUCACCCACAUGCAGACAAGGAGCACGGCCACGGCUGCGUACACAGACGUGGAUGAAGUUCACUGUAACUCCUGUUACAAACUCCCCCCCAGGCAGCUAUCAAAUCACUUCGGCUGCAAUGUCUGUCGGCUAAAAUUGUAUUGGGUUUCUCUUAGAUUGGGAUAGGAGGAAGUUGUAGUUAUUGUUGUUGUUGUUGUUGAUGAUCCCGCCAGCGAUGUGUACGAAAGUGCCGUUGGCUAAGGAUUCGGCCCCUGGAGGUGUCGAUGUGGUGGAAAAAGGGGGGGGGCAGUUUGUGCUGGCUGACGUCAAAAUAGCAUUCAUAUAUGCUUCGACGUUCCUUCGGAUAGAUCAAUUGCGGUGGAAGUGAUUGCGGAAUCCAAUUAUUUUAGCAGUGUCGGGAGACCCGGUCUGACGAAGGUUGAGAGGUGGCGUGCCGGUCAUGGUCACGGCUUUUGUAUAAAGCCACUCGUCGAGGAAAGCAUGCCCUUUUGAACAUCGUCGGCUGCUUUGGGACCACACUGUUAUUUUCAAACGUGACCUGAUCUGGUGCUCUCAGGGUCUUCGUCGCAGCAUCAUCCUGCGCUGGUUGUGCCAUCCUCUAUACUUCGUUCCAGAGACAACGUUAACUUUUCGGAAACAACGCGGGUAGCAUAACUUUGAUACUUAUCUUGCCCGAGGGAAUAUAGGACCGUUGCUCCAGGAUCCUCGAGUCUGUCAAGAGAAAUCAUUCUGUUGCAGCAUCAGAUCAAGAUGACUAAGCUGUCGGCUGUAUAGAUUUGUGGCAACAAAUGUUACUUCUCAACAUCACCCGUCCUGUGUGAGUUGAUCCCAGACAUGGAGCGAAUGCUUGGAGGUUCCGAGUAGAAAACAUUUGAGAACGCAUUGCGUACAAAGGGUUUUUAAAUAUGAGACUAUUCUACACCAUUUCGGAACUAGGUUCUCUGCUGCAGCAAUCAAUGGAUGAAUGAAGCCUGAAUGGAAUAUGUGAUGCAGCAGACUUCAGAAGACUUGAACACAACUGCAUCGUUAUGAAAGAGAAAAGGCUCCCUUUCUCAAAGCGAAUCCAGACAGAUGGAACGAAUGAAACUUUACUACAUAGGUCUCGUGCGAAACUUUGUCUUCAUGUAUCAGAAAUAAAAAUGAAAACUGAUCAGCAUCAGAUGCUUCACUCCUACGAAUGGCAUUCAGAGUUCAAACAGAAUGUCAGUUCGCAGAACCAAGAUUCAUAAUACUUGGGAAAUUGAAAUAGAGAGACUCACAAAUCAAAAACGGAAAUGCCGUUGGUGUGGAGUAAAACCACAUGCUUCAAAAACAGCUCCCGGGUAUCCAACAUUCCAAACCGAUAGAAAAUGCUUAGUCCCGGCUUAGUGCAGGUUUGCUUUCGACCACAAAAAUAAAUUAUGUUAAAUUAAAUUAAAUUAAAAACUGACACACUGCGGGAUGACAAGUAACGUAUUCAUGAAAUAGAAAGAAAAACCUCAAACGAAAAAGAAUGUCAUUGAAAAGUCGAAUAAAGGCGUACUAGAGCAAACAACAUAUGUGGACACAUUUCGAACAAACGAGGGCAGCACAAACCUUACAGACCAAACGGAAAUCAUACGACGAAUUGCACCAAGAAGUCCCAGAACGCGCGCUCCAAUAUACUAAUCAGCCGAGAAAAUUUCAGAGAGUAUAUGAUCGAUUACCGUGAUCGACCAACAAAGUACCAUCGCGGACGUGACUUUAGCAGUCAAUGUAAAGUUAAAGCAACUGCUCCCGGCAGUGAACAAGUGGAAGUCCAGUGCUAAGGAAAACCCCACCAUGUCUGAUCACCGUGGAUUGGACGAGGCAAACAACGCAUGCGAAACACUGAAGCAUUGACCACCCUCAUUUUCUCAUGCAAGGCUUUCCAAGAGACUGAAAAUUCACAUCCCACUUACAAAGCUAGCUACAGCGCUAACCCCACCUCCACCGUUCAUUCUCAAAAGCUACGAGAGAUGCUAACAAUGAUGUCGCAUAAGUUCUCCAUCUUUCCAGAACGCCCAAGAGGGAUCCUCCGCCGCAUCCUCAUCACCCAAGCGACAAGGAACCAUGGCGAGACGGUGGUCACUCAUUCAUCACGGGCUUGUUCUCGUUGGCCUUGGGCGCCCGCUGUUGGUUGCCCGGCUGCUGGACCUCCGGCUUGCGCUUGUCCCCGGCGCCCUUCUGGCUCAAAAAGGACCGGAACAGCGCGGAGUUCACGUCAUAUAUCAUAUUUCCACAAAAGCUCCUUCGAAUUCCGACUAGACUACGGGUCCAAGCGAGCCGUCGGUGGCUCCCCAGGCGCACAACGAUUGUCAGCAAGCACACAAGCAAAGGAAGGGAUACAACCACGACGAGGGAGAAGACGUAAAAGAUGAAGAAAGCAAAGCUAUGAGCUCCACCAUCACCACCAGGAGCAGGGUUAGGGUUUCGCCUUAACCACGCUGGUGUCGAAACCGCGCGGCAAAGCAUGCCGCCUCGCAGGCUCCCAACGUUAUGAACCCCGCGUGGAACCGAGGAAAGAAAUAGCGCGAUGUGUUGGUUUUCUGUUCACACUGCAGUGCUUGUGGGAUUCAAACUACCGAACAGAUAAUCAAGAUUUGUGAACAAGUACAAGGAAAUGUUUUAGUAGCAACAACAUUGCGCAUGUUGAAAGACUAAAACAUUAAGUUUUAAAUGAAUAAAUAAAUCCACCUGGUAGCGCUUCCACAUGGACUCUAGAUUAAUGACAUCAUCAACGUUACAGUAAUUUAUUUUUGUUAUUUUGUAACAUGUUUCAUCAAAUACAUUUGGCAAUUAAAGUAGAAGUAAGCCGUAGUUUGGUUGAUUUGAAGAUGAACCAGACAGUACUUUAGGUUUGUUCUUUUGAGUAAGAACUGUUCUUGCCAACGUGUUCUUCACAUCCACAAACAGAGUUAUCAUUGAAUUUGUCUCUACUUUACUGCACAGAGCUUUUGGGUAAGGCUACACGGGUAUACUUGAUAAUUGCAAGAGGAUUUUCGCUUUAAAAGGCUACCAAGAGACGCAUGUAGUUUCACAUAUGUACACCGCCACAAACCCUAUUGAGGAGGUGCAGCAUCAUAAUAAUCUUUCCCAGUGUAAAAAUUUAUGCACUCAAAGAAGCUCUUGCCUUGAAAAUCUAAUACAUAAUGGCAUUUUCUUUACUCUUCAGAAGGGUCCAGCCAAUGAUGGCGACCAUGGGGUUUGACGAGGUUGGUAGUUGGUAUUCAUUGCUUUACAGACAGUUGACAGAUGACAUACCAACUCCAUCCACCCAAGAGAAAAAACCUGCCCCUUCCAGAAGAGAAUGUAACGUUGAACACUACUAGGGAACCAAGAAAGCAAACCAAAAACUAAACAACAGUGCAUAAAGGAAUGUAGACCCACAAACAAACAAACAAUAGUGUAAUGUAAUCAUAAUAGAAUGUGAUCAAUCUAUAAACCUAGAGAAGUAAACUUGAGGUUAAGGAACAAGAGAGAACAAAGGUAAACGAAGAUAUUUUUAAGAAAAGCAGAUUAGAACACCAAAAUGCCAGAGAUGACUGAAGGUAAGACGAUUAGCAUUUAAUCGUAUGUACAUUCUACGUAGUUCAACAAAGCCACAGUCGGCAAGAUGCACUUCGUGACCACAGUGAUGCAACGUUGUUCUACAAUUCCAUCACACGACUCAAAAAGUUAGCAUCUUCACUGAUAACUUUAACGAAGAUUAAAAGAACAUGCGUGAAACGGGGCCCUUUGACAGACCAAGCCGAACCUCCAUGCUUUCAUGCAUAUCCUGAGGAACGAACGUAUCCGACUCCUUCGGAUCUGAACACAACACGAAGUUUCAGUUUGGAAACAUGGACAGAGAACUCACCAGACGGUGAGUGAUGCCACUUCUUGCACAACACUUGAAGGAUUCAACAAUGUUUGAUAAAUCUGAAAGAUUUGAUCAUUUAAAUUUAAGAAAAUCAGGCUGUAAAAGGCACCUCACAUGUUGCGAUUUCCAAAAAUGAAAAAAGUGAAAAGAACUUGCCAUUCAAGAAGUCUUCAAAUCCAAAUUCGUCUAAUUCUCCAGUCAAUGACUCAAGACCAAGCAUGGAUGAAGGAAUAAGGCCAGUUGGGCGCUGGAAUCUGUGCAAGCACGCGAUACGUACAGUUGAUAAGAAGUUGGAAUUUGAAGAUGUAGCAAACUGUUCACAUAGUUUAACUAUAUAAGAAGUUUGAGAAGUCAAGAAGCGUUAAAUUAAGAAAAAUUAUAAUUGAAAACUUGACCAGAACAAAUCUAAGGAUAAUGCACUAUUAAGGGAACUUGGUGUUCAACGCUAUGGAGAACUUUGAGAAUGAUAUCCAGUUGAGUUUCUUGCCGUGUCAGAAUUUGACGUUCAAUGUCCAUUUUCAUAGGGAAAGCUGAGCCAUAAGCCCUCUCAAGCAAGGUGCGUUUCGUCUGCGCCUGCAUGCUUUUGGACUUCACAAAAUACAGCCCACAUAGGGUCCAGUCAAAAUUUCUGAACUCUACACCUACAAAGUAACCAGCUGCAACUUCAACGGCUCCAGCACUGCAAAAAAUUGAUCAAGGGACUUGGCAGACCUAUUACAAGCUUCGAAUUAUGUGGUUGGCAACCAGAUAUGAAAAAUAAAUAAUAGACAGUGAUUUAAUUUCUUCAACUGUGUCUGUGCGAGGCGAAACCCUGGAUUCUGACUAUACUCCAUCACCAUAACUUCAACCAGAGGGGGGCAUACAAUGCAGAAAAAUCAGCUCACCAGAGCUUCUCCUCCCGGAAAUUUCAAACGAUGCUCAGAAAACAACUCACGACAUUUUGGUAAAAGAGAAGUAUAAAAAAAAACAAAAAAAAACAAAACAAAGCUCCCGAUCAGCCCAUCUGAUGUGGUCAGUCACACAAUUUCAUCCCAACUAAACUAAGACAAAAUCCUAACUCGGGUAUCGAUAUCUUACAGUUCGUUGAAUGAUCUCCACGGGAUGAACGGGCAACAUAUCGUUCUUAAACGCAGGCAAACCGUGUCGCAGCGAGUCAUGCGAUCCGAGCACAUCGUGUGGCAGCUGAAUUCCGUCCUGAAACCACCAACAACGAAUAAUUGGAUCCAAAUCAACAUAAUACUUUACCGAGGCCCCCACAGCAUCCGAAAGAAGACCUCGAAGACGAGUAAACUCGGCCAAGCAUUCACUCAUUCAUUCAUCAACCUACACAGCAAAAGCUCCUUCAACGCCUUCAACUCCUCCAACUCAAUAGAAAAAGAAAAAAACUCCUAAAAACAAUCCAGAAAAAUCCAUUUUUCUUUUUUUUAUUGAAACGCGGGACCAACACACCAUGUUCGCAAAAUCGAGGCAAGGAACCGACACCAACGCUGCGAAAUCAAUAAAGACGUCCAGCAAGAGAGCAAACUCGGAGGAAACCAAAACAAAAUUUGAUAGAAUGUCUCCAAAGGGUCUAAACUAGGGUUUGAACAAAAAAAAAAACACAUCUGGACCCCAAGACCGUGGAUGGGUGCCCUCGACCGUGGUACCAUCCACGGUAUCUUUCCUUGGGUUUAGGUGCCCCAUGAUUUAUUGGGAGCUUCAUUGCGAACAUUAUUUAUUUAUUUAUUUUCUGUUUAUUUUCCCACCGAAGUAUGUGAUGCAAUGGGUUGUUAACACAUCAGUUGCCUAACCAAAACCAGGAUUUUUUUAAUCAUGUUUUCGUUUGAUGUGAGAAUUCAGACUUGUUUACAAUUCUACAAAGUGAGAAAAUCGAAAUAAAUUAUGAAAUUGUUGUAGAACGUGAGAUCGUUGAGGCUUCAAAAGUUUGCGUCUGGGUCUUUUGAUUUGAUAGUCGUGUUUUACAUGUGCUGAGUUUAGGGGUUGCAAUAUUGCAAAAUAUUAAUGCACAUAGGACCAGCAUAUGUAACAAUUAAAUUAUGUAGCUCUAUCUCAGAAUGUUUAACAUUGGUAUAAAAACAAUCAAAUAUACCACAUCUGGUUGUUUCAAAAACUCAGUGUGUGGAUUUGAGUGUUUUCUAAUUUAUACUAUUUUAUCUUCAUGAUAACAAAGUAUCUCCUUUCGUGAUAUGGGAUACUCUCCAGUUGUGGUAAUCGCUGGAAUUUAACGUUGUUGUUUUAACUUCUUGAUAGCGAUAAUACCAAAUCAAAACGUAACAGGAAUUGGUGGGCUAGAUUCACACAGAUAACCACAUUACACAUCUGUAUAAAUUAUCCCAUAAGUAUAUUGAUUUGGCAGAUAAAUUAUUUAAAUGUGGUCAUCAGAAGUACAGCGUAUUUUACGUUUGCAUCAUUACGGUAUAACAACAAACCCAAAAAUGGAGUAUACACACAAUAUGUACUGUACAGUGCAGCACAUGACUACCGGUGUGAAAGUUGAUAAUGCUAAGCAAAGCACAGUGUUAGAGCGACGAGAUAGUCAUAAUAGAUAUAUGCUAAUAGUAAUAGAACAGGAAAUUCAUGCAGAAACACAAGCUGAGGGUAGAUAGUUACAUAAGAUGUAGGUAGACCCACACGCACAACUAUCCAACACCUCAUCAUAAAGCGAUGCAAAAAGAAAUAAUGGAUGUUUAUUUGCAAAAGCAUCCAUAAUGGUCAUUUGCAAAAGCAGUCAAAACUGCAUGAUGUGAAGCUUAUAUAAGAACUUGUUUGCUAACCUAAAUAACUAAGAAUCACUUGCGAUGAGGAAAACUCUCCAGGGUACUUCAAAUUCCGUUCUAACUUCAAAAUCUCUCACCUACAAUAGCUACAAUUUACCUGCUAUAGGCUACGCCAGUUUUCUGCAGAGCCACCUCUUUCUUGUCACCCUACUAAAUAAAGGGGUACCAAAAAAUUUACUAAUCACUCCCUACCUAGCAUAUUAGACAACUGUUUCUCCAUCAACGUUUGAUAAAAAUGUCUCUGGCUCUAAAGAUUUCCCCGGCGAGAGCUAACCUUGUUAGGUACUUGUCAAUAUGCGUCGACCAUUAUCCCUCAGGGAGCACUGAUUUGAAGGGGAAAAAAAAACAAAAAAAAAAACAAACAAACAAAAAAUCUGGUUACUCGAUAAGCACUAUAAGAGGGAAGUUGCAACAAGACGGUUGGCAUCAUGACUAGGGGAAAGUAUCGUAGGACUAAAGAAAUUCCUUGUCACUUUUCUUGCAGCUUUCUACUAUCGAGCUUGUUAAAAUUAUGAUCAAUAGCACACCUAAUUGCUCGUAGUAAAUGCGUGCGCAACAGCACUGAUCGAGUCAUAAAUCGCUUCCCAAGCUAACUUCACGGAGAAGUAAUGGUCCGCAAGGAGCAACCCUCGGCAUUAAAAUCAUACAAAGCUUUCGUACCCAGCUACUCUGGUUUAAACCACCGAAAAAAUCUUGUAAAGGCCUGGCGUCAUCCACUGCCUUCAGCAGCGGCUGUCUCGGGCUCUGAAGAUUCUUCUCCAGCAAACUCUUCAAUAAGUUGUCGUUGCCUCUGUGUGAUAUUCCUGUUACAGACCCAGCCAACCCUCCACGUCAGCUUUAGUUAUGAGCGGAAAGUAAACAGAUAGCCGGACGACAGCGAAGGAUUAUCAAUUCACAUUCAGAGUUGUAGAACAUACGUAGGAAUAGUCACGUUAAUCAGCACGUACUGAUCACCAUGGUGCCUCGAAUUCAAAACUUUUACGCCUGUUCAAAAGAAGCAAUCCGUUAGUAGCAGAAAAAUA
rnacentral:lncRNA from 1 species